rnacentral:lncRNA from 1 species
CCGGGAGAGACCGCGAGAGAGGAAGGAGAGGGAACAUCGUGCUAAUGGCGUAGAUGAGCUGAGACUCUGGGACUGUGGGACUGUGUGUGCCGUCAGUGUGGAGUUUGAUAAGUGACGGACUGUAAACUGUAGUUGACCGACGUGUUGGAAAAGUGUGAGUCGGACUCUCCACCACCGCUUGUGUUUCGGUGAGCACAAAGCUAGUUCCGGUUACGGUAGCUAGCAGGAGCUAGGCUAACGCUACGGUCCACGCUGAGGGGAGACAACGCUGCCUGCACUCCAGGACGGGACAGGAGCUUCGGUGAGCCGUCUCGGGAGACAGUUGUUGACGGAGGACGUGUCGCUGCUGCCGAGGGACGGAGGUGUGUCGCUGCGAGCUGCUGCGGGCGGAGACGGGUGCUACCACAAAGAGCGAGCGAUUCAUGAGCUGCGUCCUGGUCUGACUGACUUCACCUACACACUGAGGUACUGGUAUGAAAGGUUUCCAUUAUGAGCUCUAACUAAAGCGCGCCAACAAAAGUUGACAAAGAGUGGCAAACAUUAGGCAGUUGAGAAAAGACAAAAAACUAUACCCCGGGAUUCUAAUUUUUUAUUUUCUAUAUUCUUUCUUUGGAUGGGUGUUUUCCCUGCAUUGUUAAUCCAUUCAAAGAAAAAAACUGAGAUCCUGUAUUGGUUUUAUUGUCUUGGUUUUUAUUACUUAAGUAUUACAGUAGAGUUUACAUGUCAGGUGUAUUCCCCAUAGUCUCCAACUGUAGGGCUGCCAAGUUUCAGAAAAUGACAAGUGAGACUUUAGUGUUAUAAUGUAUUCGGACACUGACCUGUGGUUGGCAGCGAAAAAAUUGUCCUUUUUUUAUGUUGAUUUGUACCUGAAGACUGAUACCCCUGCACUGUGGCCUCCUAAUGCUCGUCUUAAUUAAUCAGAAAUUAGAAAUGCAGAUCUUAACAAGAAUUUUCACAAAAUACAAUUAUUUGUCGCAUUAUUUGUCGCAUUUUAACCAUAGACUGGACAGAGUCUGUCUCCUCGCUGGGUGAAGCCACUCAGAGAACAGCACCUUCUGGUGACGGGCUGCAGUAUAGGUCAUAAAUCUUGCCCUCACCAGUACAGCUUUGCAACUGAUUAUUUAAAAGUGAGAAUCAUACAGUACCAUAGAGUGAUAUUUACUAUUUAAGAUGUGACUUUUACGAUAAAAUAUUUGACAGGAGUUAAAGCUUCAUCUUCAAGCAUAAGGUGGGUUUUAAUAACACAAGUUGGUAGUAAAAGGGUUACAAUAAGAAAUGCAUUUUUACAAUAUGACCGGACAAGCAGGGCAGCCCAAAAAAAAAAAAAAAAAAACGCACACAGAAAAGUUUAUGUAAAAUACAAACACAUAUUAUUUCAGAAUUAACUGUAAAUAAAGUUCUUACGCUUUGUAAAGUAACAGAGUUUUAAUGUGUGAAGAGCCUACACAAAAACUCACACUCACUGUGUGUGGACACAAAUCAUGAGACGACUCUUGUAAAUGUAAGGUUAUUAUUUUCCUAUAAUUUUCUUCAUUCAUGUGAUAAAAAAGGUCAUCACUGUGUUAAGACUUUGACAUACGUCUUAUUAAAAUACACUAAAAGAGAGAAAACAAAAUAAGAAAGGGAUAGACGGGGAAAGCAGAUUUUUGGAAUCGAAGAUUACUGGAGGAUCUAUGCUUAAGAUUUAAUUUGAGUCUUUUUUUUUACAGGCGAUUAAGAGAGAGAGAGAGAGAGAGAGAGAGAGAGAGAGAAAUAAAAAUGUGGUCAGACUAUCAUUCCACAUCUUUCUCUACAGACUGUUCUGCAGACACUGAUCUCUCCAGUGGGAGAGGUAGGAACAGUUUGUACUCUAGUCUGCAACAGUUUGUUUUCCAGACCAGUCAAUAUCGAACAACACAAGAGGUGUUAGUCAGACUUCUCAGCAGCCAGAGCUCUGGCACACUGAUGGAAUUGACAAAUGACACUGACAUAUUUCAACAAAAUCAAAACAGGUACAACGAAGGGAGUAUCUUAUGUCUGGGUAAGCCAGGGAAGUUUACAGCAAAGAAACUGUGAAACAUUUUUUUUAUUAUUUUUACCAACACCAAACUAAUAUAUAAAAAUCUACCAUAAGAAAUAAAAAACUAUGAGGUGUAGUUUUUUAAAUAUUCAACUUUGGCCUAGCUCUUCUUAACCAUAUUUAAUCAAAUUUUAGUCAAGGGUAACAAAAUCUAAACAAAUCUGUAGCUGAUGUCAGUGUUAAAAGGUAAUCGAGAACAGAUUUAAAUAUGUCUUAGGCUUACUAGAAUAUUUUGUCAUCAAAAAGUGAUAGACAUACAUUUUUUGUAUAGCCAAGUGUUGUGUAUUAAUAACCAAUGCAUCAGCGUGGUUCUGACUCAGACAUGACAACUCAUUAUAGCCGAUAGUUUGCACAUCCAUCCUUCACUACAUAUUCCUUCAGUUCGACUCAAACUUGAAAAUCCUUCUCUCUUGCUUCCACCUGCUAUGUUAAAUACUCCCUAGCUUUCUGAGAGUAACACAUUUCCUGCUUUUUAUUUGACUUGAACAGUUGCAUAACUAUUUUUCAUAACUUCUGCAGCAUUUUGAGCACAUUCCUGUUCAGCUGAGCUCCCAGAGGAAUGUGUUGUCAGGGACCCCCGCAGGCAUGAAAGAACCGCCGCAAAAUAUAUAAAUAAUAAUGAUGGCAGCUAUUGUCAGAUUGUCACUUGCUGUAUGAUACCUCAACGUCCCAUUUUCUUUUACAUUGUUCCUUAUUUUUCAGUGCAGCUUUUUCUGUUGCUUUGUUAAACGGAUGCAUAAGUCGGGAGAAAAAAUAAUAUCCAGCCCCCAGGAGGCUAAGAAAGAGUGACAGGCUGAAGAGUUAAGGGCGGAGAAACAAAGCAAAACAAACACAAAGGAUUUUAUGAAUCAAGCUAGUUAUCUAAAUUAUGUGAUGCUAUAACUUAAAUUCAGUAAAGCUUUGUUGUGCUGAGCGAGGGCUGUGAUAAGCUUAAGAAAAAAAAAACCUUUAGAGGGUUUAUCCAAGGUACUCAGGCUUGUAAGGUUGAUGAGUGAACCUACUUUGCAUAAAGGUGUGAUUGUGAGUGGUCGUAUGUCUCUUCAAGUCAGCUCUGUGACUGAUUUAUAGGACCUGUCAGAGGUGUUUACUCCCCUUGUCAAAUGGCUUUCAGGACGCUCCAGCCCCCAGGGAUGUGCCAAUCAUGGUGAUUUCCCAAAAAUAUAAAAAUACAGGAUAAAAAUUAACUCAAGAGAACAAAAUAUACUGUUACCGAUAGUUACAGUGCAUCAUUUAAAGGUGGACUAUAUUUCAGUGCUAUUGUCAGAUAUAGAAGAGGCUUUAGCUCCCUGGUAGAUGAAAAGUGUGAGAAUAAAGGGAUGGGUGGAUUUAGCUUGGAUACCUCUGAAAUGUCAAAUCAGUUUGAUGCUGUUUUUUUUUUUUUUUUCUCAUGUUCAGAUUACCAAGCUGGCAUUUUUAUUUUUGCAGUACAAACAAACUAUGACGUGUUUGUCAUUGUGAUUUAAAGUGUCGGUCUUGGUCUGACUCCAAGUCUGCUGUGGCUGUUUUGUGGCAUAAAUGCAAAGACUGAGGGUGCAUUAACAUCAGGGUGGACUAUUUAAUUUAAUUUAAUAGAUUUAGAUAAAAAAAACAAAACAAAAACAGUGGUGUGUUUCCCUCUCAAGCUCUGGUCAUUUGGAAAUAUGUGAACACAGUAAUCAUAUACUGAUGCAGAACAAAACAAGCAAGGUGACCCCCCCCCCAGGAGAGGUGGUCUCGACUUGCUUCCUGUUAAACCCUGCAGUGCUUUGUCUGUAAGAAAAACUCAAUCAACCUGCGGACUGAAUAUUAAAAUAAUUGCUGUGAAUGUUCACAAAGUGUCACACUAAAACAUUUAGAGCUCACUCUACUAACUGACUCCAGUAUAAUUCGUAAAACUUUCUUCCUCUCUUAUAACGAAUAAAUGGAUCAAACUAUGAAAUGAAAACUUUCUUUUUCAAACAUGGUCUUUGUUAUUAUUGUAAGGACUUAAUAUUCUGAUUGUUGAUUUUCUAGUUUUCAUUUUUCUUACAAAUUCAAUUUUAAGUCGUAAUUUGAUUUUGAAAGAUGAUUAAGAGCUUUGCAGAGAAGUAGAAGGAAUUACAAGAAUGAAGCAAUGACUAACACAAGAACCACUAAACUUCAUCACCACAGAUGUCUGUUGUAGACUUCUGUAUUUUUGGGGAGUGGUGUCUAACAUUUGACAUAUAAGCUCAUUUUCCUCAUAAGUGUUGGUGAGGCAUUUGACCUCUGACUCCAAGAGUAGUGCAGUGGCUGACAUUAUAGUAAUGUGAAAUUAUAAAGCACUUAAUCCUUUAAGACUGUUGGCAAACACGGUAAGGAGGAGAGAGAGACUUAGAUGAAUCAGAAAGUUAAUAAAUAGUGAACUGAAAGCUUAGUUUAAAAAAGAGGCUGUUUGGUCCCUGUGACACUUUUUGUUUGGUAAAUGUUUUUAUACUAUACACUGAGUAUUUUUUUUCCAGUUCCUAUUUAAUAAGGGAGUAAAAAAACAAACAAACAUUAAAACUGACCUCAAAUCUGUUUACACAGACAGCUCAUCGUUAGAACCUGUCCAUCAUAUUUAAUGACCGAUGAAUUAUACUCUACUGACAUAUCUCUGUCUGACUACCAAAAUAAGAGGAUGUAAAAACUUGGGGCACAUUUGUGUGCAGUAAUAAUAGUAUUAAUGUACCACUAUAUACUAUGUUUUUUUAUGUUUUUUUAUAUAUUUCAUGGAUUUUACACCAUCUGUCCAUGUUGAUGAUGCAAGAUAACGGUUAACAAAAACUGUCCAAUUAAAGCUGUUCCCUGUCAGUCUACGUAGCUCAGUGUUGGCUCUUGUGAAGGUCUACACAAAUAGGCCAAAACUAUAUCCAUAAAGAGAGACAGGCAAUGCAAGUUCAAAAACAAGAGCAAAAGUCAAACAAAGAUUGAAGGAUUAUUAAAAAAUUGCAGCGAAAAAAGGUAAAACAAAUGCAGUGAAGGUAACCACUCUCGACCUUUAUCACUGGCAUCUUUGAGAGGACUUUUGACUGACUUCUGUGAGGGGUCCGAUUGGGAGCACUGAGAGAGUUUACGGUGCCAGUCUCCAUCUGGUGCAGGUUUACACUACAUUGCACUUGUGUGGGCUGUAUAAUUCAAAAUUGUCCGUCAGAGCUCAUGUCGGAUUUCCAGCCUGUGUGUCAUGCCAAAGUUUUGUCCUGAGGGAUGCUCAACACUUCACACCCUCUGCUUGGGUGUGAUCUCAUUAUGGGUUCAUUGGCUGACUCUUAAUAAACAGCAAUACCAGGAUGAAUAUCAGGUCACAGAACUGAUUCAGGAAGGUUGAGAAAAGCUCUCACAGUUGAUGUUAAUUGGUGCUCUGGUCAGCCAGGGUCAGAUUUCUGUCGGGGGGUAAUUGGGAAAAGUGGAAGGUUGGCCAGACUAGUCACUCGUCUCCCUCUGUACCCGUGUCUGUCUUUGGCCUAAUUAACUUGCACUCAGUGGCUACUUCACACAGAUAAUUUGGCAUGGAGGGAUGGAGACAGAAGAAGGAGGAGGUGUCAGAGACAGAGAGGGAGAAGUGGAGAGGUUCAGCGCAACAGGAAGAAAAUAGACCUGCAGUUUCCAAGGUGAUGCUUAAGUGGAAAUUAUUGUAUGCUUCAGUUCUCCACAUUGUGGGAGCUCUUUAGUGUUACCCAUUAUUGCACAUGCAACAUUCAGGCUGUAGUUUAUGAGACAGUCAGGACAGACAGUAUUUCUAACCAAAUGCUCUACAGACUGCUACAAAGGGACAUUAAAAGACCUUAUAGGUUGUUCUACAAAACUCCUUUGCAUCAACACCCUUGUCUUGUGCCAUCUGGAUUUCAAAAUAUAUUCAUUAUGGUUUUUGAAAUAUAAUCUAUGCCUUUAAAAACAACUGGUGCUUCAGUUGUUGGCUAAAGUUGGCAUCUAAAGCAUUUCCUUGAAUCAGUUUUCACCCUGUCUUUUCUUUGCACUGAAUCAGCUUGGUGCAUGAAAACAAACUCAGUGCAAGGUUGACCUCUUCUCCCCCUUUGCCUGCUUUAGUUUUAAUUAAUCAAAUCAGCCAGGGUCUUUUGGAGCAUUGAAAGUCUGAACAAGUAACAAAACCAGUGAAAACAAACAUAAAUGUAGUGUUUACAUUCAAGUUAACUCCAGUGCAGAGAGUCCACCAGAUAUAAAAGUCAAUAAAUAUGUAUAAAUCGCAAGUACAAAUAGAUUAAAAGAGAAGGAGAAUCUGGCCUUAAACGUCCAGUCAGAGUCAGAGCUUUUGUGGUAGAUGUUUCUUUGAUUGUGUUUUGUUAGAUUCUCAUUCACACAGACAUAACGUAUGUCACAGAGUCUAGAUGAUAUCAGGUUAAUCAGAUAAAGGGGUUAGUUAGAGGAACCCAUGCUGUAUAUCCAGUUUCCAUAGAGAAAAAAAACAAUAGAAUUUCACCAGAGCAUUUCACUCAGGGAGCCUGAGUGAAGCACAUUUGGCAUUUCAGCAUGUUUAUCUAUUUGCUGAGAUAUCAGCCAUUUCUCUGAUUAAAAUUAAUUUACAAUUUGGCCAGGGGUGUCCUUGGAAUCUCCUUUACCUGCAUGUGUGGGACCUUUUUGUGGUAUAGAGAACAUCUUAUUUACCAACAUUACAUUCUGAUAGUGGAGUUUUCUAAAGAUUUACUCAAGUUACAGUGCUGUGUGUUUAAAGUUUAAAUGCUCCCACUGCUUUUUUAACAGGGAGGCUCACUCAUAGAUUCUGCUGCAGGUGUCUAAUAAACCCCCAAACACCUGCAGCCUAUCAGAUUUUUGACUCUCCAAACAUCCUAGACUCAGUAGUUGAGUCCCUGUAUUAGCCAACUAACAUUAGUGUAAUCAGCAAGUCAUUGUUUCAUUUGGAAAGUUAUUUAUUCUAAGCCAGAAUUAAUUCCUAUGCAAAUUUAUUAAUGGUGUUCAGUAUUAUUUGCCAUCAAUCACAGACAUCUUACCACACACAGUUUUAGAAAUAUCAGUUUCAAAGUGACUCUGUUUACUCCACAGAUAGUUUGACUCCAAGAUUAAGACUUGGUUCAUUUCUGGAUUUAUUCACAGUUUUCUUUUACUACUGACAUCAAUGAUCCUUAAACAACCAAAGUCUUUAAAAACUCUAAGUCAGUGCCUUUUAGUGCUAUCUGCAUUUGUAGCAAGACUUUGACAGGUUUAAAGGCACAAACACUCAUUCUGUUUUUUGGUUGAUUUCUUUGGGUUUGAAAGAAAUUUGCAUAACCUUGAGAUCAAUAAGCUUAAAAACUGGCCUAAUCUCUUAAACUCCACCGAGUCUCUGGCUGGCACCAAGUCUCUUUCUCAUGGCUAAUCCAAUGCUGUUGUCAAGAGAAAUACAGGAUUUAAUGUAUCUUUACCCAGAAGCUUGACACUCUUUCAUGCUUUAAAUCAAACCUUUAGAUGGAGUGUAACAAAGACAGUUCCCCAUUUUACCUUGUAGCUUUUGAUUACUGCAGGUUACUGAUCUUAAUAUUUGUGCAAUGUCUUUGUAUUGGUGUUUUUUGGUGAAGUACUUCAAGAAACACCAGUUGGGCUAUUGACUGGAGCCACUUAAGUCAUGAAUAGAAGACUUAUUUUCUUCUUAAAAUGCUAAAAUUCAGCACUGUCUUGCCAAAAUACUGAUUUUUGACACAGUGAAUCUAUCACGGGGAUAUUAGUAAAUCCAGCAUCAUCUUGGACCAAACUAAACUAGCUUCUAAAUUUGAAACACUUUUAGGCCAAGGCUUUGACCUAGAACCCAGUUUCAGUGGAGGCUUAGCUAAACAAAAUUGAUUACACUUAAGUUAUCAAUAAUACUGUUAAACAAAACCAAAAAGGCAGGAUUUCCUCAGUUCAACCUUAUAUUUAAUUAAAAAAAACUGAUUAAUAAGAGCGCCCAAGUUUUCUACCCAGAUCUGUACAGCUGAACAAUACAUUUGUAUGUAGCCAAAAGAGCCAUGCAGACAGAGGUCUUGCUACUUAAACUUAAAUGCAAGACUGAUAUAUGAAUUCUUAACAUUUCUAAGCAAACCUAAAGGUUGAUCAAUCUCCUCAAAAGACUUUAAUGGGAUGAAUUCAGUCUGAGAGAAGUUGAAGUCAACAAAAGGUUUAGACAAAUGUAAAAACAUUUACCAUUUGGAAAUGUUCCCUGCAGUCUCUACUUGAUUUUUUUCUUUGCCUCACUUGUCUCACAGCUUAUUGCAUCACAACUGGUGAGGUUGAUUAUGCAAACAAAGUAUUCAAGAACAAUGCUGGUGGAUAUGAAGCAUUUCACACUGUGUGUCUAUGUUCAGCAGGAGAACAAACCAAGAGAACAAUAGGGAAUAUAAUUAGCAAAUGGUGCGACCAAAUCCAAGGUGAAUGUUUUCUUUGUUUGAUAUAUUCUUUACCUGCAGACACCAGAUAUUUUUUCAAUUUUUACUGAAAUCCCCAAAAAAGAGAAACUAAGUCCAAAGCUGAUCUCCUCCCUCAGGAUUCAAAUGACCAUCAAAUAAACUGGUGACACUCCAAAUGCACAUCUUUGUAGCCCUAAUCACAACUUUGGUGUUAGAGCAUGAAAUGGAGCAGCUAGAGUUCUUUGGCACCAAACAAAGAACAAAUAAGCUUGUUUCCCCUGCAGGGACUUGGCUUAAACACAAAUGAAAGGCAGGCAGCCUUUGUUAUGCAAGCAAACUUGUUAAGUUGGUAAUGUUUCAAUCAAACACAUUGUCAAUGCUCAACAAUGUCCCAAACAAAGUCUCAUUACAGAGGACUGGACUCGCAUAAUAGACUGUUACUCUGUCCAAGACUUGUAAUGAAGUAUGUUUGCAAUCUUCUUGUUUAUUUACACCCGUAACAGUGAUUACACAUGUUUCCUGACUUUCUUAAAUCCUUGAACACAACAUUAAAAAGACAGUUGCUGGAAUUUCUUCAAUUAUGAAAAAACUCUUAACAUCAGGUUAAAAAGAUUAGUUUAAUGAUUAAGGGUCAAGGUCACAGUGACCACAUCAAACAUAAUCUGGACAAUGGCCCAAUUAUUUUAAUGCUAAUCAAGACCAAAUCCAAGAUUAAAUAACAUUAAUGGAAUUAGGUUUAUUAUCUCUUUCUCAGUUCAAAUCCUGCUAAAUUUUCUUCAUGAACGGAUGACCUGUUUCCAUCACAUUUUUCUAGUUUAGUUUAGAUGUCAAACUGGACCCAGGUAUGAACUCAAGCAUAAAACCAGGUAUGAUAUGAUCUUGUUUUUUCAAACAUUAGCCCAACCAAAUUCCAAUACGCAGAGAAAGAAAGCGACGUCAACUCUGAGUAGAAUGAACACUCAAUAUUGAUGGAUGACAACCAAUUGGACGAUGACUUUUGGAUUGAAACUAAAAUCUUUUUUCCAAAAUGUGUGUUUGGUUCAAGUCAUUCAUCAAAACUGGACAGAAAACAAAUCUGUAGGAGGUACAAAAAAAUCCUAAAAAAAUAUGAUUUUUUUUAUUUUGGUCAAUGAUUUUAGGUUUUCAAAUAUUAAUUUUAUUUAGCCUAAAUUAUUCUGCUCCUGAGUAGAACAGUGAGAUUCUCACUUAUACUUUGCUUGAUUUGACUCCAUGUUAUUUAGAUUAACUCAGCCUUAAUAAAAACAUUUUUUUAAAGUUAAGGAAGCACUAGGUCUAUUGACAAUAAAUAACAUGCAUGUGAUUAUGCCGCCCUCUAUGAUCUUAAGCUAAACUAUAUGCAGUAGCUGCUGCUUGCAUGAGGCUUGCCUUGUAAAGACCAGAAGCAGCCAGCCCUGGUAGUGGUCUGCCAUUUAAAUGAGACCAUUGUAUCCUAUCCACUGAUGCUGUCUCACAACAUCAUCAUGUUACACAGCCGUAACAUGAACUUUCGGUUUGGGAAAUUACAUCUACAACCCCUGAAAGACCUCAGUAACCCUCAAACAGAGCAGGCUUUAUGCAACAUGUUACUCAAGCCUGCAGCUCUGUAACAGCUCAGAAACAGUCUGAGGCUUAUAGUGAGUUAAUGGUUGUAUGUGUGUGUAUGUGUCUUAAUAUGUUAGAGCUUCUGAGUGUAUCAUGUCAAUGUGCAGGUUGAGCUCAAGUGAAGUGGGAUAGUAUAAUGAUCUGCAUUGGGUCAUGUUUCUUAAAAAAGUAAGUUGUCACAAGAUUACAGCCACCAAAUACUGUCUGCUUAUGUUUGCAAGUUACAACAGUAAAACAAGAAACAACAGUAACAUGUUAAGGUGCUCAUGUGUUACCUGCCAGUCAUGUUUUAAGAGUGCUUUCCUUUUACUUACCUGCAUGCAAUGGCAGCUUUCAUACACCACAGAGAAGAGGGAUGGAUGCAGCUUGCAAUCAUUCCAUAAGUCUUAGUUUACUUGCUUCAAGUCAGCAGUAGUGAAAAUAUAGUCCAAGCUGGCAAACAUUUUUUUUCACAGUUCUUCCUCCACAGGCUAUGUAGAGAUAGGGAACUAAUGUUUUCCAGUGUGACAUGUUUCUUCGAUCCACCUCACAUAUUGUCGACAUUUGAGACUCAGCCUACCACGGAAACAAGCUAAGGCUGGCUGUAAGGGACCAAGCAACCAGGCAAAGGACAAAGGUGUGGAAAAGGAGCUUGAUCAAAAAACAAAAAUCAACAACAAAAUUUCCAACUUAAUGUGGUAGAAAAUCAACAAAAUCUGGGCAAACACUAAAAGAGGUCAACUCAGCAAAAAAGAACUAAAGUUAAACCCUAACAAACGUAAUCAAACAGACCUACUAAGUGAUACAUGUCAGGGGUUUAAAUAGACAAAGGACUAGUCUAACAUAAACACAAGGGGGAAACCAAAGUGACUACAAACUAAACAUCUAACAAACCCAGAAAAACACCUCUAAAUUAUCCAAACCAACCUUUUACAGAAAAAAAAAAUAAAUACCCCAUUCUAACUGAAAGAAUAAAGAAAAAAGUUUUAUAAAGAAUCAAAAGUCCAAGCUCCUUCUUGCUUCCCCCUUGAUGGUUUGUCCCCCUUCCUGUGGGUAGGGCUAAGGGGCCAUCUUGGAUCUGCAGACAGUCUUUUGCCAGGUGAGCUUAAACAAAGACAAACAUAAGGUAAGUACUGCUUUGACAUGACAAACUCGAAUUAAAUCAUGAUGUAGAAAAUUUAACCAUGUGACAGUUUGUUAACCAAAUUUACUGUGUUAAAACCUAAAGACAAAGAAAUACUAACAUGAGGUGGUGGUUGAGGCCACCACACUGGCUAACAAAGUAAUUGCUAACCCUAACCAUGCUCUUAAUGAUGAAUAUAAACUAUAGCCAUAAAAUCUGAGAUGCAAGGUCCCUUGUUUUCAAAAGGUCAGACUGAAGCACUCCUUCAUACGGCAGUCCAUUAUAAAGCUGAAUAUGGAGCUGAACCCUUGAUCAAAAGUAUGUAAGGCCUCUGAAUAUGCCGCCUGCUGUUUGAAAUGUUUUUUUCAUGUGUUUAUUUAUUCGUCUUGUCUUGUAUGUUGUAAAUAGAGCUGCAGUGAUAGACACCAACUUUGAGACUCCCUGACAGUAAAGUCAUUUCUAAUCUAAUCUGAUGUAUUUUGUCAAUGGAGAAGCAGGGACUACCCUAACUAUUUGCUAUGGGUUUCUGCAGAUACUUCUUCAAAGUAGAGAUUUUAGCUAUUGACAAUAUUUCCACAACAUAGCUGCUCUGCUGUCUCACUCAAGCACUGGUUAAGUGUGCUUAUGAGGCUUGCUAAAAACAAGUGAUGGAGGAUUUAUAGCUGCUGGUUUCAGGUUGUUCAGAUUUUAGGAAUAAGUAAAGUUAUUUCCUUUCACCUAUAAUAAAGAUGUUGGCUGAUUGUGUGGUUGGAGACUAGCUACAGUCAACCUCAGCACAGUCUCUUUUUAAGGUUUAACAUUAAUGACUGACUAGAUUUGGACACAGAUAUCAUGAAAUGAAAUUUCAACCAGCCGCUGAAGGUUUUUCUUUUCUCUGUCAAGCCUUCAAAAUGAAAUUACCUUUCAAACGUACACCCUUCAUCAGCAUUUGUGUCCCAAAUGAGUAAAUGCGGCCACGUGCUUAUGUUCAGAGUUCAGGGAUCAUAGGAGGAAAUGAGGAUUAUGCUCACAUCAAAGCCAGCAGGUGACAAAUCAGUGAAGAUACAUGGUUAUUAGAUUAGAGCAAUGCAGACACAUCCAGUGUCCCUCCACGUGAAGAGAAACGGCCUAGUCCUUAGUGAAAUAAAAACGUGGACUCUGAAACAUUCAAUACAUCUGCAAAAAAAUACAGAGGAUGUUUCCUCUCAUGAGUUCAGGAGAGGUUUCUCAUUAAAUCAGAAAAACAGAGGAUUAUGUUCUCAAGUGAAAGCAGUACACCUCAAUAUGCUGCUUUGUAAAUUAUGAUGAAUAAAAUAGUUAUUGUGGAGGCCUGAGAGUCGACUCAACCAUCAUAGACACGUGUCAGCACACCUGCUCUGAAAUACGGUGCAUGAAAGAUCAAAUGUCUGUAUUAUUCAUAAAAACGAAUGAUAUGUGUGGAAUAAAAAACAAGAAACAGUAGAAAAAAUUAAUAAUCUGCUCAGAAAAUGGUUAUUUCAUUGAAUAACAUGUUGACUGGUGCCUUUAUCGCCAUGAUUUGAUCCUAAGAAGCUUGAAGCAAUAAAACGAUGUUAUGUUGCUGUCAUACUUGAAUUUAAAGUAUCAGGUAAGACUCGGCUCACAUCGGUAAGAAACAGACAUUUUUUACCCAAGUUUAUUAUCUGUUGUCUAGUGUACUGUAUAUCUGAAGUAGGUUAAGUGGUCUGAUGCCGUUUCAUAAGAGAGUGCGAUGAUAAGAAAACAAGGGCAUGUCACAUUGUUUUUGAUCAGUGAUAGAGCAUGAAGGAAAAGGCUGCACAUCAACACUGGAGACGCUCAAUUAAACCUGUGACAGUGAAGGAAAUAAACCUCCAUCAGUCUCACUUCAUUCACCAAAUUAAAUCAAUGUGCUCAUUCUGUCUGGUCCAUCCUGGUGAUAUAACUCAGUUAACUUUUAAAAACCUUAUUUAAGAUGUUUAAUUUCCCAGCUCGAAUAAGUAGAACAAAGAUGUGUGUGUUUGCUUUUAUGUUUUGCAGGGAUAAAAUGAGGGUUAAAUAAUAAGAAAAUAAAACACUUGGCGAGACAAUCUCAACCUCCCUGUGGGAUUUACAAUGAGCCUUAGCUGCCGACAGCUAUCACUAACACAAAAAGAGAGACAAACACAAAGUCAGGCCCAGAUUAAUGCCUUUUUUAACAUGAUUAAGACAUCCAGCUGAACCUCAGUGCUGCUUAAGAUAGCUUAUGGUCAAGACAAUGAUAUCGAGCUGUUUUACUAUUAGCUGCUCUUAAGUGAGGGUGUGUGUGAGCGCUUACCAUAUUACCCUCUUUACUGGUUUAGAGAAACAAGAUUAAGAGGUGUGAAAAGCUAUUUUUAGUCACUAUACUGCUAAAUAAACCCCUGCACGCAAUACAUGCAGGAAGAACAAGCUGAGUAGAAGUGACAGGAAGGCUAAUCUUAGAACUCAUGGACAAAGUGUUUUUACUACUGUUGUGUGAAAAGGAGAAUGUCUUGUACUCAUUUCUUCUGUCAACGUCAGGAGAGUGUAGAGGAGAGUAAAACUUGUGACAAACAUUUAAAACAAACAAGGUUAAGUUAAUGCUUUCUAAGUGAGACAGAAGCACCACAAAGGACAGGUUGUUAUUUUCACAAACCCAGCUGUGGCGAAAUUCAUCUUCUACAGGUAUACUAUACUAAACGUAUACUAAACUGGCCUCGGGCCACUCUAUUACAAACUGCAGCGAGGUGACGCAGCUCAAGGAAGAACAUUUAUGAUCAUUCCCUUUAGGUAAUAAUCACUAUAUUACUCAUUUUGCACUGCAGGCGCAGUAGUUCUUCUGCCUUAGUGUCUCAGUCUGAUUGCUUUUCCGUGGAGAAAUAAUCAUAAAUAUUCUUCCUUGAGCUACGUCACCCCGCCGCAGUCAUUAAUGGACUAGUUGAGGUCUCGCUACAAACAAGCGGCUGCUGGAAGAGUGUGAGUGAGUUGUGUUUAGUCUCUAAAGAAAUCAGGCAAAGUUAAAAGAUGUUUGGUGGCUAGUGCUAUGGCUAGGACCCUAUAUGUACUAUUGAUGAAGUUAGGUGCUGUUCUGAGCAUUAUUUGUGGCUAUAGAGUGGCGUUUUGGUUGAGGUUUGUGUAUGGCUCCUCAGACUGCUGUGUAUUGAUAUUGUGUGGUCGUUACUAAAAUCGGUAUAACUAAGCAAGCGGUCGGCAACAUUCAUCUCUCAAGGGAGUGUCUAACUCGGUGUUAAGAUGUAUUUGACCCUAAAUUAAUUUUAUGCCGGAAUAUCCCUUUAACAUCAAAAGACAUGGUGACGGAGCAGACAGAGUUAAGCAGUGAUAAAUAUUAUACACUACACUAUCUAAUGACUCUCUAGCAGCUGCAGGUGUGGACAGUAGAAGUAUGGGCUUUUGAAACCCUCACAGGCCGGUUAGGUUUAUGAACCAAAACUACUUAGGCUUAGGUAGGUUUAGUCUAAAUAAAUCUUAUUUUUCACCUAAGUUAAGUAACCAUGUACACUCAGCGACCACUUGAUUACGUACACCUGUUCAACUGCUUGUUAAGAUUGGCUAAUCAGCCAAUCACAUGGCAGCUGUAUGUGGUCAAGAGGACCUGCUCAAAGUUCAAACCAAUUCUGCGGCUGGUCAAAACUUUCAGUCCAUACUUAUUUCGAUUUACCAUUUACAAUAAAUAUAUUCUUUUAUUAUUUCCACGGAGGAUAAGAAGACCCAGAAACAAUUUAUGCAAAAUGUUUUUGAGGAAGCUGGCGAUCUCUGUUGUUGGGGUCACCCACCCUUUGAUGUACCAGUAAAGGUUUCUUGGCCUCAACACCAGGAUUAACAGCAGGGUGAGAUCCUGAUAACCAGGACAGAGCUCUCUGUGUGUGUGCAUGUGUGUGUUUGUGUGUAUUGGAGGGAGGUUGCCAUGCAAAAAAAGCAAAGAAAAAAAUGGCACUAAAGGAAGAUCUACAGAACAGUCACCGAAUCUUCUCCCCAAAACCUUUUUCUGUGUCACCACAAGUGUUGGACCUAACACACAAUGUUAUACAUCAGAGUUGAGGUUCCUUAUGUAAUUUUAGUCAGUCAGUAAAGUUACUUUCUCAGAAGUCAUUUACUACUGAAUAAAAAUGUAGUAUUUUCAAAGUGUCACUACAAAAAAAGAAAAUACUGAGGUAGAUCUCAAAGCCAGUGCUUGGGUGAGAAGGCAAAGCAGACAGCAUUUUCUUCUUGGUAAUAAUAAUAUGAAGCCUAAGAGGAUGUAGAGGAGCUACCUAACCAUAACUCCACAUAUUUGGACCUAAAAUAGUUUUGACCCCACUUAAUGGAAACUCAGACCGUAUGGAUAAUUAAUUGAAGUCUAUUAAAAGCCCCUUUGUAGUGUUUUCAUUGAAACAGCUGUGUUUACAGUAACACAGCAUGCCUCUGCCAAGGUUGCUGCCACAGUGUCAUCAGUAUAAAGAGGUGUAAAGAUUAUGGGCUGUAAACUGGGUUAUGUAAUGGCCAUAGUGUCGAUGCUCCCUGAACUCUUAAAAAGUAGACGUACUGUUGACUACAGGCUGUCUUGGGACGUACUGUUGACUACAGGCUGUCUUGGACCAAAUGACUAAUGUAUAAGGAGUUGGGGGGGGUUCAGCAGAUUUUUCAUACUCAGAAAUACAAGGGCACUCAUGUAUGUUGCUGUUGUAUUGAAUCAUCUUAAUCAUAAUCUGGUAACAUGCCUGCAGUGGGUUUCUAACGGGUCAGAAAAACUGGCUAUAUAACCAGAAUUUAUUUUACCCUUUAAUAUAUGUAUGAGUAUGAGCUAGCAGUUGGUCACAUAGCCCAAGAGUCCUUUCUUUAAACCCACUGUGCUUUGUGGGGGACUAUACACCAACUGGCCUUGGGAAUGGACCAAGAAAAAAUCCUGUAAAGGAAAAUGUCAGAAAUGGGUCAGGUAAGUCAUCAGGAAUAAUCAAGAUGUAGUUUUUUCUCUAAUAGGAUUUUGUUUAUUUUUAUUCAUUUAUCCUGCCAAAGGUCUAAAGCUGCCAGCUGGGUUUUACAACAAAAGCAAAGCAAGCACACUGAUGCACACAAACACCACAUUUACCAAGCAAACAGCAUGGCAUAAGCCGCAUCCCAAAUAGGGUCAUUCAUAAUGAAAGGGGCUUUAGAAGUGCCAGGCUUUCACCCAACAAAAAAGGUGGGCAUUUAUCGACACAACAGCAUGCUCCAUUCGAUUUGGAUUAUGUAAGACCUAAAAUCAGUGGGGGUAGCGCCCUCUAGAUAUUUUGAUUUUGGGGUUUUGAGGUAACAAGUGCCAAAAAGCCCUAACAGACAUUUUAUCUGUUGGGCUCUGUUGGUGUGAGAGUUGUUAAAACACAGCUGCUCCUGCCUGUCUGGUAACUCUAUCCGGGUUAAUACACAGCAGGCCUGAUCUCUAAAGGCCCCGGGGUUUGAGCUGCCAUAAUCCUCGUACCUCUCAUAUCACACAGGAGCAGACACUGCAGGUCCAGGGUCAGUACUCAACCUUAGCAACCCAGUCUUAUUCUUUUCUGUCCACUUUCAGAGCCAAAAAUAUAGUUUCUGUUCUACCAAGAGAAACCUGGCCUGUUUCAGGGCUCUCUUUAAAAAUUUGUGUUUUUUCAAAUAAUAUGUGUUUAUUUCAUUUUUAGCACAGCACAUUAUUGCGUGUGCGUGUUACAUAAAUCAUACAGGCCAGUUGCAUAAAAAAUACAAAAGAUUGUGGUCUUAUUGUUGGGUUUCAAUGGUCUGCAGCAGACAAGGACAUUGCUUCCUUUUAUACAGGAGCACGUAUGUAGGUUUACUGUAAAUAAGUGUUGAUGCUAUAUUCCACAGCAACAAGGACCCCAUACUAUGACCACAGAGUUAUUUCAACCCAAUAGAGGUCUGGGAGUUCGUUUUCUUAUGUGAACUUACUUCUUAAAAGUAAUUCGGGGUAGUCAAAUAACUAUUCCCUUGACAAUAAUAUAUUUUACCCUCUAUGGUCAGUCUGGAGCUUUGUAAGGGGGUCAUGAUGUAGACAGAGUUGAUGUUUAUGUUUCUUGAGAACUCAACUCUUAAAAGAGAGAAUAGGCUCUGAUGGAAUGAGAAAACUUAAUGAAACCUCAACAUGAAGUACCCAUAUUCACUGCUUAAGACUGACUGGUGUGGCAAGUUGAAACCCAGACAGAGUGAAAAAUGCUCUCCUGGCUUGAGCGCAUGGGUUUAAUGCCAAGGUGAUGAAGUUUCCACAUAGUUCUUCCUGUCUGUUUCUUCAUCUCUGUCCUUCUUCUUACCUUGAAUUUUUUCUCGCAUCAGGGACGCGUGUAUCUGUGAGUAGCAGGAGAGCCUAACCGUGAACUCAUGUACAUUUAAGAUAACUGUGUUUACAUCUUACUUUAUGUGAGGUUGUUGUCUGUAUAAAAACUCCCUGUUUUGUGUGACCCUGUAUACCCCUGUGGUGGUGUUUGUGUGUAAAUGCAUGUGCGCAGUCUGGGACACUUAUUAUACCCUUCAAAUAUUUAUGAGAGGCUGUUCUCUCAAAUUUAUAGUCUAGAGGCCGAAAGAAAUGCAGGCAUUUUCUCGUGAACCUGGUUAAUUCUGCCAAGGUGAAAGGCGCCGUUUAAAAGAAGAGAGGCAAAAUGAAGAGAUUAUGGAAAGCAAGGCAGACAGGCAUGAAAGAAGUCAGACAGAAAGACUGGAAAGAAAUAUGCUACACUUUUGACUGCCAAAAAGUCUAAAAUGGCAAAAUAUUUAAAGCAGAAGAGCUCAAAGAAAGUAAAUCAUUCCUAAAAGCCCAUAUUCUGCGUCAUGAUGAGCUUAGACAGCAUUUUCAUAAAUCCCUUAUUGUUUUCUGUGAUGGAUCUGGCUCCAGGUCUACAACAAGACUAUCAACUUGAAAAUCUCCCUGAAGGAACUUUUCAUUCCUUUGUCAAGCUGAAUCACGUUUAAACAUUUACUCAGAGAACAAGGACAGACAAGUUACCAAAGUACAACAACGUUCUCUUUGCACAAUCCAUAUUAGUCCAUAUGGUUUUGCAGUACAUGAUUUAGAUCCAAUUUUAAUGCUCAGUACAGAAGUGAGAUUUAAUGCCUCCUCAGUGUGGCAGACCUAGAAACAAAUGUUGUGACAGGUGUGGAGGUGGAAAGGAAUAUAUUGUAGCAAAAAGACUAUAGUGUGAAAAAAGUCCCUUUGCUAAAUCCUUUUGUAAAACAGUCCUCUUACAGGUACAUUUAUGUCUCACUAAGCAAUACCAAAUGUCUUAAACAAGACAUUUUAAAGGUGGGACAAUGUAUUCUCAAAGAGAAAACACUAUAAAGUGUCAUGGCCUGAGUUAUUUUUAUGAAAAACAGUAAUUUUUCAGGAAAUUAUUUACUCAGGAUAGCAGAAGAGACUUUAAAAGCAUGGAGUUGCUGUUGCAGCAGCUGUGAUCAGACUUUCGCCUUUAUGUGUUCGGUGUGUGAUGUAACCACUCAGCUAGAAAGGUGUCUCAUGAAGCGAGUACAUUCUGACCAAAUCCCCAGGCUGUAUUUUUUUAUUCCUUUAUUUCUGUUCUUCAACCCCCAUGGCUGUAGUGCAUUUUCCAUGAGAAGUUACUGUAGCUUCUUUCAAAUUUGCACUCUUGUCAUUUCUACGAAAUUCUCAGAUGCUUGAAGACCCACUCUGAUGAAAUUCAUGUGUUUCUUGUUGUCUACAUGUUCAUAUGGCAUUUUUCUGAUGCGACGGGACGUAUCAUGAGAAAACUAAGUGCAAAAUUGCAUAUCUGAGAAUUUCUGCAUUUAAAUCGCUGUAAUUUCUGGCAGACCCAAACGGCAGGUUCAGAUACAGUGAGAUUUCCUACAUAGUAAAUCCAAACUCUGCCCCCGGAGCCCAGCUAUGCAGGCCACACUUGGAGAAAUAGAAAUGACAAUCGCAAAACAAGUGCGUGCGUGAGCAGCUUGCAAUGCCCGUAAGAAAGCUAAAUAUGAUCUUAACUUUAAUCAUGGCCCUGAAGAUAUUAGAAGAGGUUAGAUAUAACUUUACUUUUGAACUGGAUGGAUCAAAUCAAAUACAGGGUAAAAAUUUAAGAUGUAUGCAUUCACACAUGAAUUCUACCUAAAAAAUGUCGGGAAGAUUUUGUGCAUGUGUGAUCUCAGCUUGUGAAUUCUGCUUUAUGUGAACAUCAUCGUAAAACAGCCUAAACAAAAAAAAGCAAGUCUUUCAUAGGCAAGUGUCCAACAGGUCAUUUGUUCCCAACCUGGGCUUGGGAGUCCCCUAAGGUGCAUUGGGGUGGAUACAAGGCUGUGUCUCCUCUGAAGUUUUCCAAAUUAAAGUUGCGCUUAUUGACUUCAAAUCGACACUCAGAUAGUUCUAGUCCUGAUAGGAAACUGUGCAAGAAAUAAAUUUUCCCCAUACUUCUUUUUGGAAGAACAUUGCACUGCAUUGAACCACUUCAUUAGAUGAUGACCAGUAGAAAUGUGUAUUUUAAAGCAAGCUGUAUUGACUUUUUAGAAAUGCCGUCUUGUGACAUGAUUUAAGGUUGUCCAAUACUCAACACUUUUUGGGUCGUGUGCUGAAAUAGUCAUAAGAAACAUUCAAACAGGAGUUUCAUAUGCUCAUGUUGCAUCAUUCAAAUCACUUUUAUUUUGUAAGGGGGAAAAAAGAGGCAUUGUUUCCAGGACUAGGGUCUCCAUUUGGCAUUCGGCAGUGUGAUUCUCAGGAAUGCUUGGCUUUGGUGUGAGUUACAUGAUAAAACAAGGGGGCCACUGUGAGGGAUUUAACACUAUGAUGGACCAACGGUCCCCUCUAAGGAAUACGCAGCUAGAGGUUCAGAUGAUAUCAAUCAGCACAACAUCUGCACACUAAUCUGCUGUGGCGCCCUGCUCUGAGAAAAGCUGCCAUUAGCACACUUCCCAGUUAACAUGAAGAGACACAUAUACAUACAUACACACAUUAAUGCACCCACACUGGUAAUCUGCGUUCGCACGAAUUGAAGUAAUGUGAUCGUUUGCUGCUUUUGGCAGUAACUCUAAUCUCUGAAACAGCAUUUGAAUGAAAGAGCUGUGUCACUUUAUCAGGUUGAAUGAUUAAGAAAUCCCAGAUAACAAGGUAGAUUUUCUGAUGGAGGAACAUGAUUACUCGGAGAUGCAUGAGCUCAACUAGGACGGUGUAAAUGCGUUUGUAUCAAGGCCAAAUAAUCUGAACCAAUCUUGACUACAAGAGCAGCAAAACUAUUGUACACCGAAUAACAGAUUUUUCCUCUUGAAGAGUUACAUGCAAACUGAGAUCAAUUAACAACACCAAGAGUGACUAGUUAUGAUUUAAAUAAUCACUGAAUUAAAACAAAUAAGUCCAUUGAUGUCUUUUCUUGGUAUUUUAGCCCAUUGAGCGUAGAGAGUACCUUUUCUUUUCAUAUCUGACUGCUCCUGUGAACUCUGGUGACCUCCAAUAUUGUUUUCUCAUCCAGAUUCCCAGGUAAAUGUUCGGAAGCUUCUAAGAACUGCCUCAUGCUGAAACCACUCAGGCACUCAGAGUUUUAUUUCUGUAAACAAAUACUCCCCGAUACUUCUGCCAGAGCCGGCACUUGGUACCUUGUAGCUUCAAACAUGCUCUUAAUAUUAUGUAACUGAUUGAGGAUAGUGAAGCUAGUGUGGGCACAUAAAAGCAUGUUUUUGUUGAAUAUCGCUCAGUUGUGUUGAAUACAUCCAGACCAGCUGAUGAUGGCAUUCCUUGGUAUGGUAUUUCCCUUUAAUAUUAUCUCGAGUGCACUGCUUCUUGAAGUGCUGUCCUGAUCUCAGGCUCUGGGGAGUAGAACUGUAAUCAUAUCAAUCUGUGGAAAAGAAGCCUGAUAAACUAGAAGUUGGCCCAUUUACUGUGACAGAAAGAAAUAAGAGUGGAGGAAAGAUAAGGAGGACUUUAAUACACAAAAUGGGUGAGUGAGCUAACACAGGAAUAGACAGAAACAGACAACAGCAAAGGACAUAAUUGUAUUUAAAGACUUGGAAAGUGCAAGAAAAUGCAGAGAGACUUGGAUAAUGUUGAGUCAGAUUAAACCCUAUUAGUGACCCUAUCAGGUGUUAUAAUUUCCUAUUAAAAAUGUCAGGUUAAAUAUGGGUUAUUGCAGGUGAGCGACCUGAUUUUACUGUUGCCAUGGAAGCAGUUUGAACUUUAGGGUCUGAGGGAUUAUUUCUUGAGCAAAAAGGGAUGUAAUUUUUAACUAAUUUGUGAAAUGUGUCAUGAAAUAGAAAGUUUUUGUGAGCUGUGUAUAAAGAUGCCAUUGGGUUGCCAAGCACAGUUCAAGAUGGGACUGCAUCCAUCUCCAGUCAGUUGUCCUGCUGAGACCUGAAGAAAUGUCUCUGUGAUGAACUUUGAAGACAAAUGGAGGGAUGGGCCCAGGGUUGUACAAAGGCUGUAGACAGCCCCUUUGGAUAUUGUGUAUGUGGGUCAGAGAUAUAUCUGCACAGCCCUGCGCCAGAUUUAGCAGAUUCCUCCUAUUGUUUGUGUCAACACAGGAGGACACAAAGCAAACAAAUGAAGCUUGUUAGAAAGUGGGGCCCUAUGUGAGACUUUAGCGAAGUCUUUUGAAAGUCACAGAAGAGAGUCUCUAUAGCAGGAAAUGAUGGUGCGCUCCAUUGUUCAAAGACAAGGGAGGCUCACCACUCCACAGCCAUUGUCUGGAAAUAUUUCUAUAAGCUUUUUGCAAGGACAACAUUAAUGCAGUUUGACUACCAUGUCUAAUUAUUGUCCCAGCAGCUCUUGCUAGCAAGCUAAUGAGACUUUAUGAACAUAAAGCUCAUUUAUUGAAUACAAUGGGUGGGGGGUACAGUUGGCACUGAAAAAACAACCUCCAGCUAGGUCAUAAUGAGUUUGUCUAAUCACUAAUGAUAACAUUUCAGUAGAAAUGGGGCCCUUUAUUUUCACAGAUAAUUAGAGAGGUCACACAGCUAUCCUUGAAAAACAUUACCAGGAAGAGACACAAUUUUCUGUGCAAUAAUGAGGCACCUUUGCAUCCACACUCUAUGCUACAACACACACUCAGACACAAAUGUUCAUUAAAACCCAUACAAAUUUCUAUCAUAGCUGUGACCUUGCUGGUUCCAUUGUCCCUGACUCCUAGUUGUAAUUGCCAUUUAUGUGUUGCAUAAUCAUAACAGGUCAUAUGAUAAAAAUGGCAACAGGCAAUUAAAGAAACAAAAAGACCCUGAAGUUUGAUGAACGUUCAAAAACAGACGCAACAGGAAUAGCACGGCCCGUACUUGUCCAUUCCUUUCUGCUAUCUCAAACAAUCUGUCUUUGGACAGAAAUCAUAACAGCAUCAAGAUUUUUGGCUGCAGUCAUAGUGAGAGAAAACAAAACUUCAUCAAGCCCUUGAUAAUCUCUCCCUACAUGAUCCAAAAAAGGAGGAAUUUAUGAAAAAAAUUCGUUUUUUUUUUCAUGAUGGUACAUUUCCCAACCUGUUGUAUCAUACUAAAAAACUCCUCUGUUAUUGUACGAAACCGGUUUGGAUCAACUCCCUGUCAUAUAUGACAGCCUUGUCACCACUCCCUUGUAUUUUCUUAGAAAAUUACCCACAAGUGGAGGCAUUUCAAGGAUUUUCACUCCUUGGCAGGUCCAUCCACUAUUGACUGCAAACUCAAAACAUAUGGGUUAUAAAAAUACACAGUUCAUGUCAAAGAAUUUGCGUUUGGAUGACCGACUCUUUGCAGACAUGAUCAUUUGGAAUUAAGCCCAAACAUGACCAAAUACUGAUUCUGUAAAUCCCAAAAGUUAGAAAAGCAGUUAAGUUUGUUCCUCAGAGAUCUAUAUGGUUUCACUUUAUAAUACCAGUUUGAGAUUUGUGGAGAUUUAACAUAAUUUCACUUCCUGACACCUUUUUACUUAAAAAAAAGCAACUAAAAUGCUAGAAUGUUUGAUAUUGUGUUCGGAGACUGAACAAAGGCAAUGCCUUAAUUGCGUAAAUAUGCUUAUUUGCUUUCCUGCCAAGGGUAAGCUGCAUAUUUAAAUGCUAUUCACAUGAUGCUGCUGUAAAACAAAGGGAAGCUGUCACAUGCUCAUGAAACAAUGCCAUUCUCUGAUGAUUGGACAAACAACAAUUUGACUUUGGAGGCCCUAAAAAGCAGAGUUUACCAUUUGACAGAGCCAGGCCAGCUGCUAAUGCUGUUACCAGUCCCAGCAAGGUCGGUGACUGCUGACAAUGAGCUCUUUCAUAAAAGACUUUUUUGACCUUCUUCCAUCCCAGUCACCUCAGAUGUUCACCCUUCAUCACAGCUCAUGUAUUUUCUUUACCACAGCCAGUGUCUCGGCUCAGUUGGUGGGUGAUCUCUUCAGUACUUUUGAGACGUUGAAGACCGCUAAACAAGGUCUAAUUGCUUAUGACGUUGCACAUUUAGGAACAUUUUUUCUAAAUCAGGUGAAAUAAAUCAAAGUUAGCUCAAAAUCAUGCCUUAGCUGAUUGAAAUAGUAGUUUUACAAAAGUUCAAAAUCACCACCUAAAGUGGCAAACACAGGGUAGAUGACGGUGGAGAUUUAUCACGACCUGUUACUUAGAUCAUUGUACCCUAUGCUUUCUCCAGGAAUCAAACAUACAAUGUGUGUUUUCCCUUUUUAAUUUGCAAUGCUGUAUUAAGAUCGCCUGUUAUUGGCGCUGUAACAUCCUCUGGGUGGUGUAAAAACAAAUGUGUAUUUUCAAUCUAACAAACAAAACUUUCCAAAUAAAAUUCAUUCAUUCAUUUAAAUAUGAUCAUGAAGCCUGGUGUAACCCAUUGACUAUACUCUGGAGUGUCAGUUCAUAGACACGCAUUGAGUUACAGUCCCUGACCCUUGCAUAAAAAGUGAUCCGCUACAGAGGUAGGAGUUGUUCAGUUGGGGGACUAUUGUGAUAAACUGAGACCUUGUGUCUGAAUUGCCAUGUAUGACUACAACAACUUAUCCUACAAGUGGCUCCAUCCUAGUGUUAGGGUCUGCUAGCACUUGGUGCUGCCAGUGAGCUCAACACUUUGCCAACUGAGGUGACACAUAGCGAGUAAUUAUCUUCAGCUGAGAGGAAGGAUUAUGCAACCAUAACAGAGGAAAGACUCAUACAGCCUAAUGAAACAGUUUUACAAUCAAUUCUACUCCUGUAGCCUAAUGUUUGAUUUUUGUUGAUCUGUUGUAGGUCAGACCUAGCACUUGUCAUUUUCAAGAUAUUUUGAGGUGUUGUUGAACUGCUUUAGAUAUUUUUAAUGCUACUUUUUUUGACAACCUAUUAAAUCAAUUAGGGAAGACUACAUAACGGAGACACCUUGGCGGACUUGGUGUCUCCAAGAAUAACAAACCAUGCCCUGUUAAUGCACCUGCUUCACAAUUGUUUGUGUGACUGUGCUCUGAGACUGCUGGCUGAAUUGUUAGGCAAUGGAAAGUUUGUAUGAAAAUGAGCUAAAAGUUAACUCUUACAGGCUUAAAAGCUUCAAUUAUGGUUUUCUUACAGUCCGCAUGGAAAUUUUUAGGCCAAGAGUGUUGAACUCUUUAGUGUAAUCAAUCACAAUCAUAUGGGUGAUACAGCAUGAAGCCUUCAAGUGACAAAGUAGAAACCUACAUACUUUACAACAUAUGUGGAAUAUUAAAGAACGAAAUAUGAAUGAUUUUCUCAUGUGAUGUUUUUACAGCUGCAGCCACAGAGGAUUUUUCCCCGUGAGGACACCUGUCCCUUCUCUUAACUGUAAUCAUCAAUUAUUACUGAGUUUGGAAAAGUUUUACUUUGUUUCUAGAUAUAACAAGUAAAGUUUCAUCAUCUUUUUUUCAUUAUUAUGGGAAUGUAAUGUGAAAGUCAUCACCUGGACAAACAAGCCUCACAUUGCGGUUUGUGUCUGUCUAACAAUUGUCUCUCUUCGUACCUUCUCCCAUGCUUUCAGUCUUCAAAGAGCUUGUGUACGAGUGAACCAACUCGUACUGUUCAUUGUGAAACAUAACUUGAAAAAUUCUUGUCCUGAAAAGGCCGUGCAAGAGUAUGUUAUACAAUAAUCCCUGUUAUGUUAUACGAGUGUGAAAGGACAACAACAUUUUGCACAUCAUGUAUCUGUUGAUACAUGUCUCUGCCAGAUAGUCUUUGCCUUGUCCUUCAGAAUAGCAUGCUAAAUCUUUUGUUGGAUAUAAGUUUAAGUGUUUCUGGCAACUUAGAGCUGCUGUAGUCGGGUAAUCUUAUUUAAAGUUCUGUAACAGGGCUUAAUACCUGCUGUGAGAUUGGCGGGGUCAAUUGCUGUUGGUUUCACAAGCAUCAACAUACUUUCUCAUAUUAAUGCUGGAAUGUUUGGACAAAAAAAUGCUUUGUUUCACAACUUCAUGAAAAUGUAGUGAAGCAGAGCUAGCUGGUUGAACCUCCAAGGACGUGUGAAAGGCUGCAAGUGUAGUGUUAUUCUAACCUCUCUCAUGGGAGACUUUUGCAGCAUCUGGUUACGUAGUGUAAAUCCAUUCAUCAUGAUGGGUCCCCUCAAUCACCCAGAUACAUUCAUCCACAUUGUCAGUUAGUGAGUGUCGUCGCCAUAAUGUCUUCUCAUAAUCUGCCACUCCCAUUGUCCCUUUCUCUAACAGUGCAAGUUUGACUAAAUCACCCUCCUGCCUCUAAUUCCCUCAGAUUAGAUCCAUCCUAAAAUAAAUACCUGUCUAUACCCUCACCAGGUUAAGCUUUUCAACAUGCAUUAGCUGAUUCCUUAUCCUGCCUGUCUGAAGCUCUGUCUGAUUACUCAGACUCUGACUGUGUUCCCGAUCCCUGUCAGUGAAGUUUACCUCCUUGUGACUGAUUGUUUAGCGGGAUAAGCCUUUGUGAUUGAGUAUUUAGCCGUAUUGUUAGACAGUCUUGCUUGUGAGACCUUGCUUGCUCUUUGUCAAGGAGCAUAGCAGAAUUCUUGCACCUGCUGUGUGUUAUAUUAGAUAAAAGCACCUGCAUUAUUAUGUAAUGGCACUCAGCUGACUUUACAAAACAGACUUUUUUCCCUCAAUGUCAACCCUGAAUUAGCUUAGAAAGUGGCAUAUAGUUAACCUUGGACAGAAUACGUUUUGAUAUAAUGUUUGCUGUGGUCAAGUGCUCAACAGGACUUUUAAAUCAUUUGGUGUAAUAAUUAAAAAAAAAAAAAAGAAAUGCAUCUUCUUUCAGUAUCCACCUAUGCCAUUAUUGUAUGCCAAAAUGUGCAACACCAAGACCCCCAAACGAAAGCAGCCAAAUUACCAGCAUUUCUCUUGUUACCACUUCUCAACCUUUCCUCAUUUUCAACUUGUGGCAUGAUGUCCCUCCCUGUGGUUAAUCUCUUUUGACAUGAAAAUGUUAAGUUAUAUUUAGGAUGGUCCAAAGUUGCUUUCUCCAAUUACCCAUUAAUGAUUUACUCCCUCAUGACCCACAGUAGAGGAAUGCAGUUAUACAGGGCAGCUCCUCAAAGCCCAUGAGUCACAUUUGUCUUUAUUACUAACAUAAUUGAUUGUCAAACCUUCCCUCCAUUGACAAUACAGAAAUAGGUCCAAUUGUUCACAGCAUUUGUUUUGACAACAGAGUCAGAUCCCAAAGAUACCAGGGUGCCUGGAGCAUAAUGGGGUAGUCACCCAGCUGAUAAGGGAAGCCAGAGAAAACAAGGGCGACCUAGUUGUGCUGUGGCUGGACCUCACAAAUGCAUAUGGGUCCAUACCCCACAAGCUGGUCAAAGAAGCUCUACACCGGCACCAUGUCCCAGCCAAGUUCAGAGACCUCAUAUUGGACUAUUACAGCAGGUUCAGUCUGAGAGUCUCAGCAGGGUCCACAACAUCGGACUGGCAUAAGCUGGAGAAAGGGAUCAUAACAGGAUGUACUAUUUCUGUGAUCCUCUUCGCUCUAGCCAUGAAUAUGCUAGUGAAGUCUGCAGAGGUCCAGUGCAGAGGGCCCCAAACCAAGUCCGGUGUCAGGCAGCCACCCAUCAGGGCCUUCAUGGACGACCUGACUGUGACAACACCAAACGUCCCAGGGGGCAGGUGGAUUUUGAAAGGCCUGGAGGAGCUAACCACCUGGGCCCGUAUGACCUUCAAGCCCGCAAAAUCCAGAGCUCUCGUGCUGAAGAAAGGAAAGGUCACCAACAAGUUUCACUUCACACUCGACAGCACCCAAAUACCAUCCAUCACUGAAAAGCCGGUGAAGAGCCUGGGGAAAAUGUUCAGCUGUAGCCUAAAAGACACAGCAGCCAUCCAGUCAACCAACCAAGAGCUGGAGGCAUGGCUAGUCACAGUGGACAAAUCUGGCUUACCGGGCAAAUUCAAGGCCUGGGUGUACCAACAUGGCAUCCUCCCAAGGAUUCUCUGGCCCCUCCUGGUGUAUGAGAUCCCAAUCUCUACAAUUGAGAGCUUCGAGAGGAGAGUCAGCAAGUUCCUAAGGAAGUGGCUGGGACUGCCUCGAAGCCUCAGCAGCAUCGCACUAUACGGGAAAAACAACAUGCUGAAGCUACCGAUCAGCAGCCUGAAUGAAGAGUUCAAGGUGAGCCGUACUAGAGAGGUGCUGCAGUACAGAGAGUCAAGCGACCCAAAAGUCUCUCAAGCCGGGAUCGAAGUCAGGACGGGGCGGAAGUGGAGGGCAGCAGAGGCCGUGGAUGCUGCAGAGUCACGGCUGCGGCACAGGGUGUUGGUGGGGACGGCGGCCCGGGGAAGAGCAGGCCUAGGUAGCGGUGCAACACCUCGCUACGACAAGGCUAAGGGGAAGGACAGGAGGGCACUGCUCCAGGGAGAGGUGCGAGCAGCAGUGGAGGAAGAGAGAACCAGCAGGAUGGUUGGAAUGCGGCAGCAGGGAGCCUGGAUGCGUUGGGAGCAGGCGGCAGAGCGCAAAGUCACUUGGACUGAGCUUUGGAAAGCUGAGCCCCAGCGCAUUAAAUUCCUCAUCCAGGCCGUCUACGACGUACUGCCGAGCCCGUCUAAUUUAUUCUGCUGGGGAAAGGUUGAGUCGCCUGCCUGUGCACUGUGUCAGAAGAGAGGGACCCUGGAGCACAUCCUGAGCUGCUGUCCAAAAGGCCUGAGUGAGGGGCGCUACCGCUGGCGCCACGACCAGGUUUUGAAGGCCAUAGCAAACACCAUCUGCAAUGGAAUUGCCCACUGCAAGCACCUGCGCCCAACAAGGAAGUCCAUCUCCUUCAUCAGAGCCGGGGAGAAACCACCAGCUGCUGUCAGGACCACCUCCUCUGGCCUGCUAGCAACGGCUCAAGACUGGGAGCUGAAAGUUGACCUCGGGGAACAACUGGUAUUCCCAAAGAAUGUGGCCACAACAUCGCUGAGGCCAGACGUGGUACUGAUCUCAACAUCCUCCAAGCAGGUCGUGCUGCUGGAGCUCACAGUACCAUGGGAAGACCGAAUCGAGGAGGCCAACGAGAGGAAGAGGGCCAAAUACCAGGGUCUGGUGGAGGAAUGUAGGCUCAAUGGGUGGCGGGCAAGAUGUGAGCCCAUCGAGGUGGGAUGCAGAGGGUUCGCAGGCCAGUCCCUCUGCAGAGUCUAUAGCAUGCUGGGCAUCACAGGACCUAGAAAGCAAAGGGCCAUCAAGGAGGCCACGGAGGCAGCAGAGGUUGCCUCACGGUGGCUGUGGAUCAGGAGAGGAGACCCGUGGGUAGGGUAGCAUUAACUGGACACAAGCUGGGGAUUGAUCACCCCCGGCUGGGUCGCCUGGAGGAGAGUGUAUGAUGCUUGAAAGACCCGAAACACUCGAUGAUCCCAGGUAACAUCACUGAUGAUGUGUCCAGGUUGCAUCACUAGGUGAUGUAUGUCACAAGGUCCAAUUGUUCACAGCAUUUGUUUUGACAACAGAGUCAGUUCAGAUACGCUAACGUCAUGAUUGCAAUAUUAAAUUGAAUAAGUCAGGGACUGUCUGCUGAAUUAAAUCUUAUACACUCACUCAAGAUGGAUUCAAUUCACAGUUUAGAGGUAGAGCUUAACUCCCUAAAGGGGGAAUGUGAUAUAAACAUUUGGAAAAUGAGCAUCUUUAUAGGACCUGUCAUCAAAGGCCUGAUUGUAUUAUCAUAGGUUAUAAUUAAAAGGGUGACUCUGCAAUUAAACUUGAACUCUUAUACAAUCAGCUGCCGCGGUCUUUGCAUCAAUGUAGUUAUGAAAUCUGACCUGGAUAUUUUACUGCUAUAUUGUCAAUCAUAUUGUCAGUCACUACUGAUAAAGGGACUAAAUUGUUAAAUAAGAGGCUCAUCACUUAAUUAUAUGUGUUAUUGUUGCUGCAUAUAGAUGGAAAGUUAGGUAAUGGAAAUGGCAGAGAAACAAAAUCAUCAAUCAGGUUUGUCCUUGGUUAGUAAUGCACACUGGUGAGAAAUCGUUUACCUGUUCUAGUCCAUCUAGUCCAAAAUCUUAAUAUAGAAGUAAAUUAUAUUGGUAAUUUUUUAGACAUUGAGAAAUUUCAUUAAAAAGGAUUAAAAGAAAUAUGAUGACAGGUAACAUCUGCUUUACUCAAUUUAAUCCAACAUUUACAAUUUAGCUGCAGUUCAAUGGAAACUGAAUGACAGCAAAACAGCAACCACAGGGGCCAAAGUCACUGUAAAUACUGCCAUACUUCUAAUUAUGCAUUGAAUUUCCCUUCAGUGAUAAAUGAAGUUCUUCUUAUCUUAUCUUAAUUAAGUUUAGUGUCUCAGGAAUAUUUUACCAUUUUAAUCCCUACUGUCCACCUGUUUGUAGUGUUCAAAGGUUUGUUAAACAAAAAAAUCACAGUUUUCAUACAUUUCAAGUUUCAAAUGUUCCAGAGAAGGCAUUGGUGUAGUAGGAGGAAGAAAAGUAGAACCAGAGCGAGGUGGUCAUGGUAAUAAGGUUGUGGGCACUGCUGUCUCACAGCAAGUUGGUGCGUACAGCUUUCCCAUCUCAAUGCUGGACCUUUCUGCCCUCCUCUGACCGGGUUGUUGAUCAGGGUUUUGACCUGCCAUAAAGUACUGGUAGUAAAUAAACUCAGAACAAACUUGACCAAGUAAGUACUGGAUGGCAGCACUGUGUGUGGUGGUUAGGUCUGCUGCAUUACGGUUGCUCAGGUCUGUUUUGAUCUGCUGCCUUUAGUGGUAAAGUUACCAGCUGGUAUUAGUCUGUUUAGCUGCACCUGUAUAUUUAACUCAAACUCACAGUAUUUUGAUGGUAUUUCAAUUUUGUUCUGGUCUUAGUAAACAUUUGUCUCAACUUGUCAGGUGAUCCCCCCUGAGAUUUUAAAGUGAGUGCCAUGCUGUGAUGGCAUGUUGACGGCGGUGAACAGUGCACCGCCAAUAGAUCAGCUCCCUGAUGAUGUCACCUUUUCCUGUGUGAAGCUUUAUCAGUGAGGUCAGACCCCAAUAUUAUGCAAGUCAUUUUCCCUGCCAGCUGUCUUUUUCUCAAAGUGACUUUCCCUAACGCUUGUUGUCCGUGUCCUUACUGCACCCACUUUUCUCUCAUAAGUGCACAAAUGACAGCUAAUGUGACUCCAGAUUUCAAAAUGUGUUGUAUUUUCAAUAUGUGUGGUGAGACUAUUCCUUUAUCUUCUUUUUAAAGUAUCCCAGUGUCAGUAAGGGAUAUGUGCAGUCAAAUGAAUAGUUCCCUAAUAUACUGAUUUAAUAGACCUCAUUCAGUCCUUGAAGUAAAUGUUGAUUAUUUGCCUCCCAUUGACGUAUUUGGUCGUUUGUUUCUUACUUGCUUCUCUAGACCCAUUCUUCUAGCACUCCAAAAGUUUUAUAUCAAACCUUUUCUGGUAGAAAUAGUACACAUGUAAAAGGCUUAUCUUUACAAACUGUGUGAAGGAGAAUCUUGUUGACCCUUUUUGCAGAGAUUUUUGGUCUCAUAUACUCAUUUUUAGAGUUGCAUCAAAGUUUGUUGACUAAAAAAUGUUGGCGAAAGCAAUAAAGAUGACGAAAAGCAGGAUAAGGUUUUUGGUGAGUAAGUACCACUACAAAAUAAAAAUCAAACACUUCAGCUUGUUCCAAUAAACCUUGUUUUCAAAAAACCUUCUACCCCCUAAAACAUCCGAACGUCACAUACACCGUAUACACUGGGAUGCCAAAUAUAACUUAUUACAACAGAACUAUAUUUCCUGCAGCUGAAUUGCGCAUGACCUACUGGUUGGCAAAAGCACUUUUGCUUAAAAUGUCCUGCAGCUCUAUCAAUGGACCACAUGGAAGCUUCUUAGCCCCCUGCACAGGGACUCCUCAACCUAUCUACUUAAGUCCUUUCCACUUUAAUAGGGUUCAUUCUGCAGUUGUAGCUCUCUGAAGUGGAUGGACAGGUAGCCUGGCUCUGACUGAUUGAACUUCUAAAUCCCCGCAGGGAAAGUUCACUUACAUGUUUUCAUCUCCCCGAAGGGGCCAAGAGAUUUUAGAAGCCAUACGGUAACGAGUACUUUUACUAAUAAGGGACUUGAUCAAAGAGCGAAGUGGUCAUGUUUUUCACUCUCAAAUUUGGACACAAGAGGACUUUAAAAAGUUCAAAAACUUUGAAGUGUUAUCUUCAGUGCAUGAAGAUAUCCUGCGUUAAAGAAAUGCCAGUGGAUGAUCUAACCUCAACAAACUUAAGCAAGAAUACUCGUGUAACUUUUUUCAAAAGAAUUUAAUGGAUUGUGGCAGAAGAGUUGGUAAAAUAAUGAAAAAGAUAGAAUUGGAUGAGGGACUCCCGGUCUACACGUGUGGCCUGAAUAAGGAGGGUAUGCCUCGAGGUGUUGGCCCAGGUUCACUCCCUGUCUCUCCCUGUUUUAGACUGUGUCGACUGUCCUGUCCCCUCGAGAUAGAAGCAAGACCUCUCCAAAUUGUUUUGGUGAAUGUGGCUAACUUGAGCAAAACUAACUUUCGAUCUUCCUUGCGAGUUAAUAUCUAUGUGUUGGUUUCGCGAUGGAGGCUGUUAUUUCUUUAUUUUUAUGACGUGCGACAACCAGCAUUAAGAACCACAUUAAUGGCAUCACAGAAUUACCAUAUGCUAAGUUAUGAUAGGUUAAAGUGCAAUGCCUAAAUUCCAUCUAAAAAUAUACAGAAUCUAGACGGUUGAAAUUAGAUCUAAAAAAAACUAGAUGUCUAAUAGCCGUCUGUUGCUCAGUGGGAUUAAUUGUAAGUACCAGUACAUUGCAACAGCCCUGGUACAUCCUUAGUAUGUGAUGCAGCCACAUAGUAUAAUGAAACACACAGUUUGGUCUUCCUCUUUUCCCUGCUUUAAAUGUUAUCAAUCAGUACAGCGAACAUACCUUUUCUAAAGAUCAUGCAUGACUAUCUGACCUGACCUGACUGGUGAUCUGUAUGGCACAUUACCGAAUGUAUGAUGCUUAAGCUGCUGCCCCUCUAAUCUGCUUUCAACCUAUAUUUUCCACAGCUGUCUCGUUUCCUCUCACCCUUUCAUGUACACCAUUAGCAGAAUACCUGCCACGUGAAAAUGCCAUCAGCUGCAGUGAGUGAGAAAACUCCUGGGAAAUGUGCUAGCUACAAAGGUCUGCCAAAGCUGCUUCCUAUAAUGAUGGGACACUCUGUCACCACAUAAUAUACGAUGAGGAUGUCAAGGGUGGAGACUGAAUGGCUCUUUAUUACAGGAAUCGAUUGAGAAAGUGUGUUUAAGUCAUUGAUGAAAAACAUCUCUCAAGGCACGUGAGGCAGCAGACUGAUCCUUCACUGCGGGGAGGUCUAUUUAUAGCUCUUUGCACAGUAAUUAGGAUAUGAAGUGCAGUGUUAGCAUGGCCUCGUUCUGCCUUCUGUUCAUUAGUGUGAACAUAUUUAGCCUUAGUGAUUAAGAUGAUGAAUAUUUACAUUUCUACACAUUCUAUCAGCUGCAUUAAUAACAACAGAAGGUACAAUGUAAACACUCAGUCCCCCUUGUAUAGACUGUAUUUAUUUAUGUUCACAAGUAUGUGUGUGUGAACACCCAGUCUGUUCAUAACCACAGACGGUCCUUGAUAAAAAAAAAAAAGGAGGUCUAAAUCUGCCAGAGGCCAAACACUGAGACGAUAGAUGUUGCAGAGGGAGGAAACUGGCUCUGGCCUCUUAAAUGAUGGCUGUUUUUCUCAUUUAUGAGCAAGGUGACCUCGCCCGAUCAUGAAAUCCUGCAGGACCUGAUCACCACCGCCAUCUAGAUCACUCUGCCUGGUCAGUAUGGGGCUGUUGAGAACUGGCAUAUUGAUCCAGAAUAAAGCUUUUCCAAUUAAGCUUGAAACCUAGGCCAAGGAUGACAGAGUAUCAAGCAAAUCUCUAAAUUGCGGCAUCUUGCUUUCAAGGUAAGGAUGACUAGAAUAGAAAAAGCUAGUGUUUCUUUAUGUUAAACUACAAAGUGGCUUUUGCUUUGAUUAAGACAUGGCUUCAGGUAAAGGAUAUUCAUAAGUCAAAGCAGAGCUUAAUCAAGAAGUACAUUUUUAAAGGGAUAUUCCGGCGUAAUAUUAAUUUAGGGUCAAACACACCGUAACACUGAGUUAGACGCCCCCUCGAGAGAUGAAUGUUGCUGACAGCUUGCUUCUCUACUUGUAUCAAUUAGUACAGACCGCAUGAUAGCAAUACGCAGCUGUCGGCAACGUUCAUCUCUCGAUGGGGUGUCUAACUUGGUGUUACGACGUGUGACCCUAACUUAAUUUCACACGGAAUACCCCUUUAAGUGUUAAGACAAGCAGACAAGUUUAUCUAUUGCCUCAUUCUCAUUUGGGCCUGUUUGCCAAGCAACUUGGUAUUAUUUAUUAUGUGCUUGAAUGUGGAUGAAUUUAUCAAAUAGUUUAAUGAUUAAGAUACAAAUAAUGAGGGUACACACAAUAGGGGAGCAGUGGAGCUCAAUGCCCUAUUAGCAGGCCAGUAAGAUUAAAAUGUCCUAAGAUUAAACAACACCUUGUUGACCCUCAAAAAUGAUCACCUCCUGGAAUCAAAGUGACUCUUUCACUCAGAGAGACUGUCAGGUAGAAUACUCUUAUUGAUUCAGUAUGAACUCCUUUGUUUGUCAUUCAUAGAACUAUCCUACUUGUUCUCCUUUUGUUAAUGAGCAGAUGUAUUGAUGGUGAGGGAAAAAGAAAACAUUAGCAAGUGAAGGACAGACAUCUUUUCUUCACGGUAACUGCAGAGAAAGAACACCCAGGUGUGACAGGUGUGACGCCGCACUCACGUGUGUCACUUUUUCUAUGAAUGGGGAAGGUAUGUAGGACACAGGAGGGAGGGAUUGAGGGCUUGUGCGAACAGAGAGGACAAGGCAUUGAAUGUUCUUCUCUAUAAACACAAGUACACUUCCUUCAGCUUCAAUUGUCAUUGCUUAAACUGUACACAGACAAACACUCGCAGAUGUUCAAAUUAGAAGGUAAUGACUUUCCCCCGCUCCUUUUUCCUGUGCUGUCUGAUGUUUUCAUUUGAAGGGUUAUCCUGGUAAAUACAAAGAUGCGUUUACCUGUAAUUUCUCAUAUUUCUAAAAUAGACCACAGUCAGUGUUUUAAAUUCUACCCUAAAUUCAUAUCCUGAGUUUCAGUCCAGUUGCUAUUUCAAGCUGAAGGAUACAUAACACUAAAAGAUGAAUGUUGCUGGAUUUCUGGAUGGUUGCUAUAGAAGGUGUUGACCAGUACAUCCAUUUUCCACACUGACCUACAUCUCGGAUUACUCCUCUGACACCCAUCAUCCUGAUAGAAAAAUGGCGGGCAAAAAAUAUGUGUCACUGUCAUUAUUUAUCCUCCUAAAUCCCCCUGUGUGGCUGUAAUGGCAGACACCUGGUAACAUACUUACUCUUCGUCAUCGACCUAUAACGGGAGACAGUGAACGUCAAAAGUGUCACGAGAAAGGACCAGACACCAACACUGCAUCUUUUGGUUCAGGCAAAAGUAAAGGGAGUUGGAAAAGGCUUCCUGAUGAAGUCAGUUAUAUCAUCUGUAAAUACUGCUGCAUGUAAGUCAGAAAGUUACGCUUGAUCUGUUUGUGACACAGCAUGGGCCACUACAAGGUUUGGUGUAUGUUUUUGAGGGUUUACUUUUCGCGAGAAUUACUCGGUUUUGUUUCGAUUUUCUUUGUUUUGGUGAGAUAAAUAACGAGCUGUGAUUCAAGGGUGGGGUAGGCAGGAUUUCGUUAGAGAAGCAUCUUUUUUUGUGGUGUGUAUACAAAAAAGCUUUUAACAUCAGUCAGUAGAUAUUAGUCAUUAAUGAUAUUUGGGAAUAUAACGAUAUCGCUGUGUUCUGACUGUAAACAAAGCUGUUCGCUGUCUCCCUCAACCUGAUUGGUUGUGAGGCGUACACUGCUCCUUAGUGCUGAUUGGUUGUGAGGCACACGCUGCACGCUCCAUGCCCUGGAAUACCGUUCACGAGUCCAAACUAAGUUAGCGUGCUACAAUACCGGACAGUAGAAACCAACCAGAAAGUACGGAAAAUUGUCUGAAUCCUCCUUUGGCCACUACUGCCAACACAAUAAUAGAGACUUGGGCGGAAUAAGGGGCGCUUAAAAAGGAGGUCAACCGGACAAGAGCAAAAAAGCCAGGUCAACAUAAAAUGAUAGGGGACACUUCUGGAUCUUACGGACCCUGUAACCCUUCUGCUGGACAGGUAAACUGCUUUAUCAAAGUAAGCCAAGUGUCUGAAGUGUUUCUUGUCAAACGGGACCUGCUACAUGUUGUAGCGCUGCUAAACUGUUUACCCCGGGUCCUGGAGUAUGUCACUUAUGCUAGUUGUAGAAGUCCUGCAAACAUUGUGUUUGCUGGUAGUCUGUUGGCAUCAACAGUCACACCUAUGCUUUUUACUUUCACGUUGACUGUUGACUAUCUGAAUUUAAUUGGAAUGAUACGAGCGAGCAGGAGCGUCUGUUUGUGGGCGGGGCUUGCUGGAGCAGAGAGGGAGGCGAGAGGAGGAGCUGAGGAGAAAACUGGUCGGGGGUGGGGGGGUAGUGUUUACAUUCAAGAUUUCUCCCAAAAAGUGGCACUGUCUCAGAUCCUGCCUACCCCACCUUUAAGAAAUUUUGCACCUGGAAAAGAAAAAAAAAAACUGUUAAUGCAAAGAAACACUCUGAAAUGUUGCAUAUACAGGGUCUUGAAGUAGUUUUUUUAAAGGUAUAAUCUUCAUGGGUUCAUCACUAUUAAAUAAGGGGGAAAAAAAAAAGAUUUUAUGAGUCAUCCUCCAUUUGCGGAAAUACCACCAUGUGCCGCUGACCCUCUCUACAGAUGUUUCCUCUCUGUUGUUGAUGUUGUUCUCCCUAAGCACCAUGGGUCCCUCCUGCUCAGCUUGUGGCCAGCUAGUAUAAACAGUGUCUCUUUUUAAAGGACACACAGGUGGCUCUGACAAAUGUAUAUUUUAAUGUUUCCCAGAUCUUUAUACCACAACAUGGCCAUCCCUUUCUUACUGGUACAGGAAAUUGCUUUCCCAACACUUGCUGAUGAAACAGCUGUGGCUUCCUGAAACUAAGUACAACUUUUACUGUUUCCUCAUGCAGGAAAUGAUAUUCCAGCACCAGAACUGAGGUGGGCUGUUCACCUAGUAGAGCAUAUGAUCCUACUGCCUUAGAAAGGAUUUUAUUUGGUUAGUUAUAAACAGGACAAUUACGCAUGUAAUACUGGUGAUUCAGGGAAAACUAAAUUAUUUUGAGAUUCACACCGCAUUUUCUUUGCAGCAGGUAAUGAGUAAGGAUUCAGCUGUAGAGAAGUAUUUCUCCACUAAAGGUGAACCUUUCAGGGCAUUAUAUAUAAAGUUAACUCUUCUGUGUUUAUUCCUUUAGAAGACGAUACUGGUGGGCGCUCGAUCGAGUUACCUCAGCUGGAAUCAUACGAACUACAUAUCUCAUUAAAGGGAGGGCCCCACUCAGGUCAAAUCUUUACAUUUCAUUACUUAAAGGGCAACUGAGAGUGUCAUCGAGUUUUCCUCAGCAAGAACUUGACAGGGCUUUGAAUACACUGUACUUUGAAAAUAACUCGCCACGCACAGCUCCCUUUGUCACGUUUUUCUCCACGUUUCCUUACACAUUUAGUCACAUUUGAAUAAAACAUGUUAUUGUGUGUAAUGGCUGAAGUCAGACAGAUCUGUAGACACUUAUCGUGUGAUGCGUGUUCUCCUUGUUGCACAUGUACAGAAUAUGAUGAUGUGUGAAUGUUCCCGUGGAAAGGACAUGUUGCCCUUUUCGUGCCUCACCUCUCUCUCAUUCUUAAAUAUCACGUGCGUGGAGCACACAGAGGGAGGGUGGUCUCGUGACAAACUUGGCUUUGAUUACAGGUAUCUGAAUUCGAACCACAAACCAACACCUGUCUCUGUGAAGGUAAAUAUAACCCAGCUUCAUGUAUUUUAAGGACUAAUGGAUGAUUUUCUCUACAGCACUCGGAGCGUGUGUGUGCACGCCAGGGUACACUAGCUACAUGUUACUAAUAAGGUACUCUGAUUUUUCUCCAGAAUAGAAACGGGGACACAAUAAGUGAAUCCAUCACUGUUCAAACUCUGCAAUUCAUGAGCGGAGAAAGGGCAGCAGCACAUCUAUGUUUGAAAGAUCUUUGUGUUUUACAUCAACGCAUACUUGAGGUUGGGUUUUUACACAUCGAUUUGCGCACUGCUGUUUGAAUUCCUGAAGUAGAGCACACUAUGAUCUGUUUAUUGACUAAAACAUCCUGUUUAUCAUAUUUAUAAAACUGGGUUUUGUUGCAGUUUCAUCUAUGCAAUAAUAAAUGAUUUGUACGGUUAAGGUGGAAGAGUGAUAUUCAGUAGAAAGUGCAUUAGAAAGGGGAUUGUUGUUUCUUUUUGGGAACAUGACACACCUACAUUUUGGUCUGUGCUCUUUCCUCUAAUAACAACUUUAGCAUGUACCAUCACAGGGUAAUACACCUGUUCUUAUUUUUUUUUAUCUCUUGCAAAUGUUUGUUAAAACAAGAUUAAACGCUUCUUGUUACAGAGAGUAGACCAAUGGGAUGGUUUUAAUUUUGCUUUUCUGUAUCUUGUUUAUGACAUAGUAUUUGAGUGGGCACAGAUGAAGUUUCUUGGUCAUGUUUUGGCUCCAGCAGAAAGUGAGAACAGCAUUAGAAGCUCAUCAGGAGGUCUCUAUAAGCUGUCUGACACGUGCAUAAAUACAUCCCUUUAGACUGGAGCAUUUCUGGAGACCUCUCAAGGAUAUAGUAUCCUUGUCUCAGUAAAUAAAUCAUAUUUGUUGAUACUGUACAGAAGAUAAUCUCAACUUAAAUUAGGUUAAAAUAAUAGUUUUAAUUAAAAAAAUACAUAUUUUUUUGCUGACCGUUUUUGUGAGAUAAAAGAUGAGACAAAAGAGGAUACAGAGGAUUUCAGUCAUUUCUGCUGCUUAUAAAAACUGUCAGUCUGUGUCUGGAUGUGUGAUGUUUAUUUCUGUGCAAAAUAACAGCUUCAGCUUGAGGCAGCAGGAGCUAAAAGUGAUGAAAACUUUAUGGAUUGUGCCUCCAUUCGUCUGAUAGUUUAUGCUGUGUGCGACAGCAGAUAGAAACCAGACGCUCAAACAGGCUGCAGUUCUCUUAUUAUUUCUCUCUUUUUUUCAGAAUUGGGAACAUUUUAUGUAAUGUUGAGCAUGUUUUAAAAAAUGAGGAGACAGACUUCAAUAAACUUUAACCUUAUUUGUUUUUUUUUUUUAAGAGUGAAUAUUUAUUUUAAAUGAAGUUAAAGCAGCAUGUUGAAUACACCCCUAUUCCUUCAACCCAACACUGGAAUUAUUUGAUGUUACCUGAAGCAGUGCCACUGCUUUUGGGAUGUAAAAGAAUCUAUACAUACCUUUCAGAUGAAGAACUCCAGUUUACUUGGAGAACCAAGCCUUCCCAGUGGCUGCUUGGUAGGGUAAAAGAAAAUAAAGUGGGUAGUCAGUAUUGGCCUUAACUAUUGUAUAGUUAAACAUCUGUUCUGUCGACAUUUAUUCUUCAGAAACACUUGGUGCCUCCACGUCGAAAAGUAAGUUGUCUAUCACUAGUGUUAGCCCAGGAGAGGACAGUCAAGUGUUCUUAGUUGGAAACAAAGUUAGAUCAGAGUUGCUGAGUUGUGGUGGCACAGACAGUUAAAUGCAUGUUUUAUUCAUGAUUUAUCACAGGACCAGCAUGUUAUAUAAAGUGUAAAUUACUGUGUAAGAAAUAAUUAUAGUCUAUGUAGCAUGGGCACAAAUCCUGUGUGUGUGUGUGUGUGUGUGCAUGCAUUCAUAUACAGUGUUUACAUAACCAUCAUUUGACAGAACAUGGCCUCAGGACACAUUGCAACAACCCUGAUGAAGACAAAGUGAAACUAACCAGCUCUCUGUGCUGCCCUCCAUGCUCUCCCUGUGGACAUUUAUGACAGUUCAUAUCAGACAGAGAAGCUCAGACAGACGGAGACAAAUCUAAAACCCAAGCUGAUGAAACUGAAAGUUAAGACUGGCCUGUUUGGACCUGUCUUCACAGGGGUCUUGUUUGCAGGGUACCCUUAACUUUGCACACUUUUCCCUCAUAAAAAAAGAGAAACAUUUGGAAAUAUAAAAAAUGCAUUGAAGCAUCUAUACAUGCAGGUUUCAUAGAUUUUUGAGGCAAACCAAAACAGGAACAUUCCCCAAACAUCACAGGACUUUGACCAAAGACACUUGGGUUUCAGUCAAAUUUGAAACAAAAUACAUUUUUAGUUGUUUUAUCAACCCAAACUAUGAUGUGUUCCCAAAAGACUGGCACCAUUUCAAUCUUGCUGUUUGUACAGCGUAUGUUGAUACUAAGUCUGAGAUAUUGACAUGUUUAUAGCAGAGAGCUUUCACUCAUCGUCACAGUAAGAUCUGAGGGUGAGAUCAUGUGUAAUGUUGCAGUGCGGAGUUUGAAAAUCAAUCAAACAAUAGUGAGACCUUGACAGUUCACGAGCCAUUCAAUACUAACAUUUCUUGUUUGGCUCUAAGAUCUAGACUUUGUUCAUUAACAAGGUAGUGAAUCUAAUUUACACCAUGACAAAAACAUACCCCUUAAUCUUUGUGUUUUGCUGAACUUUGAACAGUGUGAGAACUGGCAAGCCAUAGGACUUCCUGCAGUGUCUCAGCUAUUUUUUCCACUCUGUUUCCACUGUUUAUCCCCUGAUUUAAUUUCAUACAGCUGUGUGUUUGGAUUUAGGGCCACCACACAGCUGAACUCAGAGCAGAGAGGUGACCACACUCAUAAUAGCCGGACACACUUGAACACCAUCAGGGGACUUGUGUGUGUGGUUAAAGUACUCACCAGAUGUUUUUAUAGGAGAUCAUGUCCCGAGCUUAAUUUAUCCUCAAAGAGGAUAGGGUUUUGACCUUUCUCCUUCUGUACUCAAACUUAAACAAAGCUUUGCUGCAUCCCAGAAAACCAUUUAUGUAACAUCAGGUAAUUGCAUUGUUUCUCAUGUGUCAUACCGAAAUAAAACAAGGCCUGUAAGCAGUUUUUGCCAUUAGAUGAAACCUUUGCUACAUCAGAUACUCUUAGUGUUUUAUCUACACUGAUCAGAUAGUUGAUAAAUCUUGAGACAUAUUUUCAUCCUUAUAUCAUAUAUACCUGCCUUGAGUUUGUUUUCAUCAGGCUUUUAUACCAAUGUAAGAUAUAUAAAUACAGCAUAUAAGGUAGAAAAAACUUCUCAUUUCUUUAUCUGACUCUUCAACUGUGUAUUCCAUCAACAUCAAACCUAGAUCAUUGAAACUGUAUUUGUUCCACCAUUUGGUAUCUUGUUCUGUUUGUGCUACGGACCAAGUGUGAAAUGAAUGGAUUUCCACUGAUUGCAUCAGAGACAGCCAGCAUAUGUGUGGGUCAAUUUGUAUGUGUGGUGUGUUGUGUGAACAGCAGGUACGGCUCCGAUAGCUUUUCAAGGUCUAGUGGAGUGACAACAGUGAAACAUUAUAAGACAGUCAGACGUGGAUGCUUAAGAUUUAUAUACCUUAGGGGAUGUGAAAAUAUCUGUACUGCUUUAUUCAACACCUCAUUGUCUACUUGUGUUCAGUCAAUAAAGGAUCCAGUGUACUCCAGUGGUUUGCUUUGAACAAACAGAAAAUCUUAAUUGUCAGCUCUGGCACUGAUUGUCCAGAGGGUUUUCGAAUGAGGAAAUUAAACACGGGAUACAAAUACUGAGGAAAUGUAAAUCUAUUUUAUUUACAAGGAGCGUGUAUAAUGAGUAAUUCAGGGCAGCGUUGUUGGGUUAUUUUAUUGGCUACAUUAUUUACACUUCAAAAACUUUAACCUAUGCCAGUGAUUUUUUUCUAUUUCACUUCUGUUAGAAAUAUCUCAUUAGACUUUAAAUCAACCACAUUUAGAUGGUAGGCACAAGAUGGUAGACAGCAGGUGCAAGAAACGGUCUUCUGUAAUUUUUUGUGGCAUACUCUCCAGUAAGGAACAUUUUACAGUUAGAAGACAACAGGGUGAGGUUUUUGUAUGAAAACAUGAUCUUCGUGUGUACAGGACAAGAGAUGAGACGCAUCACUUUGUCCACAAGGGGCGCCAGAAUCAACACAAACCAAAAGUUCAUCACAGAAGCUUUAGUGAGAAUAAAAUAAUCUGUAAAUUGGGUGGGCAAAAUGUACUUGUAAAAUUUUUAGGAAUCUUUUUUAUAAUGAUAACAAGUAAACUUUGUUUACUCCACUGACAGAUUUUCUUACCCAUUUUAGGCGAUGCAGGUGUUAACUAUAGGGAAAGAGCUUGCAAUGCAAAUCCGCCCUAAUCAUGCCCCCCAAUCACACAAUUCACUGUCAAUAAAGGAUUUACCUGGAGUGAAUGGAGCUAUAGAGACCAAAACUGUAUUUCAGUUCAAAACUAUAAUACAUUUUUUUCUGCAGUAGUAAUAAGCAGUGCAACUAUGGUGGAGUCUCUAUGACUUUUGAAGUCAGCCCCAAGUGGCGAGUCAAGGAACUGCAUUUUUUGCACUUCUGCAAUGACUAAUUGACACUGUUUAUAAAGUGAAAUACAUGAAAAGUGAGUAAAAUAACAAGAAUCUAAGAAAAAGCUAUGCCCAGAAUCCAGGAUAUUUGAACAGAAAAAAACAGACCUUACGAACAAAAUUCAAAAUAGCUGGAAGCCAAGCCCAUCAAUGAUAAGCGUGGCUUUAGUUACUUUGGGGGAUUUAUGUCACAAAAAAAACGAGUUUUAAAUAUGGCUCCACCAUUUAGUUGAAUUGUACCCAAUUCAACUAAAUGGUGAAUUGGGUACACCAUUGGGUAAUGUCCUUAUAAUCAACAAGAGCGCUGGGUUGAUGGGAUAAACAGUGCUACAACAUGCAAGGAUAAACUUCAAACAUAACUGUUUUAAUGGUUCAGGGUGAACAGUUUCUGAGGAUGUAUACUACAUAAUUGCUGAGGGUGAAGGUCAGGCAGUAGAGAGAACAUAUCAGUAGCGACGUGUCUUGUCCUCAACAUAAAGCUUGAGCUACAACAAAACCUUUCACUGUCUGCUUCUACUUUCUUUUAGUUCUUCAUCACUUGUUGUGAUAACCCUUACAAUUUAUUCUCCAUGUAUUUUUAGCUGCAGGCUAGACGGUUAUGUUGUGCAGAGAGAAAAGUGCCUGUCUGCUUGGUGUGUGUAUUUUGUUCACUUAGUUUCUGUGUGUUACCUAAGUCUGUCUCCAGCUUCAACAUAAGCAGUGCGAAAAAGAGGUGAAAUGCCCCCCACCACCCUUUUUUUUGUGUGAAAGCCACUGAUUUUUUAAUCUUCUCGAGUUGAUGUUUUGGCUAUCUCAUGAAUGUCUUUUAAUCAAGUAAGCUUACUAUUCUGGCUGCAAAUGGAUUCCUGUUAAUAAAAUAUAUGAACAUAGAGGGGGUAGAACUUGUGUGGGCAGAGGUAAACAAAACUUUGAGGAGACAGCAGACUGUUCUGCACCAUUACUGACUUGGAAUACUUUCAGAGCUUCACUUGCUGACUCGUGUUGUGCAAAUAGGGCAAAACUGAAUAUAUGCAGUGCAUUGAUUUUCUAAUUAAAUGCACAAGUCACUAAUAUAUUGGGAGAUUUGAUAAUUUUGUAACCUAGUCUGGUUUCAUUUUUAGAACCAAAUGCAUAAAGUUACCUGGGGGAUACAUUAAUUGCUGUAGAGUUUGUUAUUUCGGCCCAGUCUUCACCUUCAACAGAGAUCCCUGCCUACUGUGGAGACCAUGGGUUUUGUUAUCAUGCAAUUUAAAAAAAAUAUAUAAGAGCCAAUCACUUGUUUACAAAACACACUAUAAUGCAGCUUUACUUGUUUUCUUAUUUGACCCAACAAUACUCAAGAUAGUCAACUUUGGGUGGUGAAUGAUGCAGGCUGCAGCUGAGCCUGGUAUGUUCUAACUCCCAAACAUCAAGAUGUAUUUUUUCUUGAUAAGCCUCGCUGCAGUCAGCAUGUAGUUUUUCCUUUCCUGGGCAUUAGAUUGCAGUUUGCACACCUGCAUCAAUCAGGUAACUUGGAAUCUCCAUUUGGUCCAUUGAAUCAUGCAGUAAAAUUCCAGUUCAGGCAGAUGUCCACAUUAAAUGGCAUGUCAUCAGCACUGUUGGGUUCACUCAUUACUUAGUUCAGUCAUGUGUUUGUCUCUUUAAAGCUCACAGACCCAAACAGCCAAUAGGCCUGCUGCAGGUGGAAAAGCAUGUGUAUCACGUCCACAAGCAGAACUCGGCUGGUUUCUUGACAAAGGAGCCAAGCCGAACUGCAUCCCUUAUGGUUUAUACCCUACUAUCGACAGGUUUCUUAUACAACCCCACAUAAAAAAGGAACUAUCACUUUAGGUGUGUUAAUACUGUCAUAGUUGUGUUUCAGUAUUUUAAUUGGGCGCUCACACCAAGUGCGAGUAAAAUCAUUUACUCGCUUAAUUCGCACGAAUCUAGAAACGAGAAUGAAUUGUAUUUACUUGCUUCAUUCACAUGUCAACUGGGAAUUUCAAUGGUAAUCCCUGCCAAUUCAACCAGCAGGAUCAAGUGAUAGAGUUUUUUUUACAAUAUACCAGGUAAUCCAACCUCCUCACUCCAGACGAGCUCCUUUUUAUUCUGGUUUCGUAUAAUUCGGAGCACCCACACACUGACAUGCUCAGUUUGUCCUCCAUUUUAGAUACCAGUGAACAAUCAUACGUUUUCAUGCAUCACCCGGCAACCUUUGUGCUGAUUAGUUAUAGCGAUGCGAAUAUCCGCCCAUGUUGAGACAUAUUCAGCUUCCGCCCAAUUCGCGUCAUUCGCGCUACCAUAGUAGUAGGAGCUUCAAAUCGCGUCUCUUCCUUGACUUAACAUGUAAUUCAUUCGCGCCAAUGGUCUUACUCGUGCUUGGUGUGUGGAGACAGUAAGACUCCAAAAAUAGCAAGACACUGGCUGGAUAUCCUCACUUUUCUCUUUAAACUUGGUUAAAUAUCACUGGGUUAAUGGAGCUUUUGCUGUUAGAUAAUUUCCUCGUUUUGUACCCAUGAUCAAGUUGAAAUCAAUCAAAAUCUAAAUUACAUGUUAUGACUUAAGGUCAGAUGUGGUCUUAGCCUCAGUGUGCAAAUUAAAGCCACAUUCUGGUAAAAAAAAAAUGACAACUCAAUUAUUGAAAGGUCUUUCCCUCCAAAGAGACAUCCCCUGUUGUUAUGCAAGUCUCAUUAUUUGGCUCAUCUUCACCUGAAAGUGGCACCGGUUCUGUGCAGAGCCUGAGGAUAAAAAGUGAAGCACCAUUAAAUCCCCCCUCAGACAAUUACUGCAAGGGGCCUUCUUUAAAAGCUCAGUGGAAGAAGCCAGCUGUGUUGUUUUGACCUGCCGUUAUGUAAGCCUUGGUAACAAAUGUUAGAACUGUAUUGACACUGGCAGUGAGGACAGUUAAUGCCUUGUUUUGCUGAUUUUUCCAUCAGACAUGGUCUCCUAUAAUCCAAGACACAUUUUCAGAGGUGGGCUAGCUCAUACUGCAGAAAAAUAGGGGUGGCAUAUCAUCUCAUCAAGGAAAUGUGUCGGUAUCUAAGAUGAUUAAAGAUUCAAGCUUUUUAAUGUCAGUUUCUGCCGUAUUGUGAGUACAUACACAGGAACUGAGAAAGAUGUUUCUCUCCAGCCCAUGGGGCAAAAAUACACCGAAUAUAUUAAGAAUACAGAAAAAUAAAAAAAGAGAAAGGGUAAUACAGAAGGAGAGUGGUAUAAAUACUCCCCUGUUACAAUGUUAACUUUCUAAAAGUAUCUGUUGCCAAUAAUCAAAGAUACAAGCAUGCUUGUAUAACCAGGCAGAGACAUGUUUCAGUCAGCAGCACAAACAGAGGACUGAGACACCCUCUGACCAAUCGGAUCCGGUCUGGAAAACCAUUGUGUCAAUUCCUGUUUUUUUCUCUUGCUAAGAAAACAGCUCAGUCAAGUUUUUACGAGAAACUGACUUAUCAUUCAGCUGAUGCUGUGGCUCAUUUAGAAACAUAAAUUAAAUGCUGAGACAACCUUGAGUGCAGUGAAAUGCCCAGACUUGUCAGAUGUCACAACAUGGGCAACAUUCUUAUUUCCAAAAAGCAGCAAACCAUAUUUGGAAAAUGUUAAUCUCACUGCAGUAUGGUCAAUAACAAAUAUCCAUGUAUAAAUUUUCAAUUAAAUAACAUCAGAUCAUGAGUUUACAGUUUUAACCGUGUGUUUUUGAAUGUUGUCAUUUAGAUUUUCUUCUCUUGUUAGAUUUUGACAUACACUUUAAAGUCUAUUACUAAUCCUGUAAAAAUAGACCCAGUCUCCUUCCUGAAGAUUUAUAAAUGUUCAAAGUUGUUAAAAAAGGGAACAAGAAGUCAAGCAGAGGUUACAGUGAGGGCAAAUGGGUGGAGCUUUGAUUGAAGGGAACCCGAGGUUGUGAGAACAAGCAGUAAGUGGAUCAAAGGUUACAGAGAGCCCACUGUACCAUGCUCUAAAGCUCAAAACUGACCUGAGUGCCCUUUGUUAUUUUCUGGUUAGUGGGACCUUUUCUCAUUUAGAUUUAGAUUAAACAAAAUAACUGUGGUGUGUUGAAAUACUGUCCCAGUGGCACUGCUGUAAAGCCAUGUAUAGACAUGUUGUUUCAAAGCAGACAUUACUCAUUACUUUCACAUGAAAAUCCUCGCGUGUCUUUUAGAAAGCUAACUGGAAUUCCUGUACAUAUCAUCAGCAUCAGCAUUUGACUGUGACUCAUGCAUGUUCAGGGAAAUGAGAAUUUGGCAUCAAUGUUUAUGCAAUCAAACACCUUCCCGGAUUUUCUUCUCCAGAACUGCUGUAAUAAAUGUUGUCAGGGAAGAUGAUGCAUUGUCUGCUAUGCUGUCCUUAGAAGGAAACAUGCAGCACCCAUGGAGUUAGCCGGCACAGAAUUGAGAGGUCAUAAUAACCCCAAAGAUUUGCUUACAGCAGCAGAAAAUUCUGAUAGCUUGGACUAUAAGAGCUUGGACUUUUUUAAAAUGUUUUUAGCUCAUACUAAUGGAUUAACUGGUUGACAAGCAUAGGCAAGUCCAGCUUCAGUGAAUCAUGAGCAGCGUGGUGUGACAUGUGUCUCUAAGUCACAAGUUACUGUAACUCUACACUGUUUGUAGUAACUGAUGGCGUAACUUUCAAUUUAUUACUUUCUGUAAAGGAGAAGAGGGGUGAGUUGUCUUCAAAGCGCUGGAGGGAAAGCUUUGUCUACAGCCAGUUGUGAUUUCACAAAGCACCUGACCAAACGAGUUGCCAGAGGCUCGCACUCUGGCAACUCACUGGUGAUACACGUGAAGCUCGAACCAUGGUUUGGUUUUAAAAUAAGCCAGCCCACUCUCUGUGACUCUGGAAGGACUAAACAGGCUGAUGACAAUGUGCUUCACAUAUCAGCUGAUGAGCCUAAUGCUUUGAGAGAACUAUUUCCCAAACUAUAGGUGUAAAUCUUAAGUUACACAGUUUUAAAAAAUCUUGUAUGCAUUGUGAGGCAGCUAAGUACGGCUAGUGAUCUCCUGUCACAAAAUGAAAACUUUCGGCAAUCUAGGAGUCCAUUUAUUUGUUGUUUUUUGUUUUGGCUGUUAUGCCUGAAGCCACACAAGAGUAAUAUCAGCCCCAGCAGCACUCUCACCUCAUUAAUUUCAAACCUAAACCUUUAGUUUCCCAACACCUGUUUGCAGCUAAUCGCCCAUUUAACACACUAAAUAAGAUUUAGUACCAACCAAAUUUUUUGCAAUUACUCUUUCAUUACUUAAAUGAAGUACACACAUUUUUACACUAUAAGAAUAUAUACAUUGUUGUGGGAUACUUAUCAUUCAGUCAAUUUAAAUGAUGUCUAAAAAAAUCCAUUAAAAUGCCUGAGGCUGACAUGCUGGCAUUUCGAGUGAGAACAUGUCACUGUAAUAUUUGCAUUAUCGCACUUUAUGCCCGAGAGCCAUUUAUGUGCCCUUGAGACUCUUAGUUUCUGAAUGUGCAGGAAUGUCAAUUUGUGAAAUAUUUAUUGACUUUAUGGGGAUCAGGAAAGUUAAAGGAAUUCAUAUUCACUUUAUGAUACUGGCAACAAAAGGUAAUUUACAUUAAAGGCCACAUUUUUGCUGCAUAGUUUUCUUAGGAAGUAGAUAGUAUAAGAUAAACUCCCCCCCAACCACAAUCUGCUUGCUCUCCAGGCGUCACUUGACGUCAGCAUCAGUUACAGUCCAUAUGCUUGUGAAAUCACAGCCUCUCAAAUCUCACAUUUCCAAACAUCAGAAGACAUCCAAGCAAAACUAGAUGGUAAAAUUAAUCCAAAGUGAGGGUUUACUCAGGUUCAAAUUAGGUCUCAGUCGUCUGGAGCUUGCCUACUUACACCUCAUAAGGUUUAUUCCUGGAGUUGCGGUUAAGUCCAAGUGAAGUCAGUACCCUUGUGAUUAUCCUGCGGGUAAAAAUACCAUAUGGGAACUCCAUGCACGCCACCUAAAGACAUGCCACCCACCCUCACGAUCAGGCAUUUUUCUUAAGAAUAAGUUAGGAUUGUUGUUCAAUUGAUGCUUUCUGAAGGUUUCACCCCUGAUGACAGCAGCAGAAAGAUAUUUGUGUGGCACAGACAUGAUGUAAUAUGCCAGCUGCAGAGAGAGGUGAGGGGAGGACUGGACUGUAGCCAGUUUCAUUUUAACAUAAAAAAUAGAUGAAGACUGUGAGGAAGAAUCAUGUCUCUACCAGAAAAAACACCUGCUGCUGAGGUGACCUUGUACUUUAUGCGAGUAUGUUUGGGAAUGUGAAAUCAAAAAGUAAUCCAGAGUCAGAAUUAUAUUUUAUAAAGCUAUGGGGAUUAAAAUUAGCCUAUCAAGGGGCCAGACAGAAGUCACUUUUUUCAUCAGUCAGCCGUACUCUGAGUCCAGUACUAAACAUUUUGAAACUUCAAUGGCCCUUUGUGUUGAAUUUAAUCAAAAAGAGCCAUCCUUUACUGUUCACUUUUAAACAAAGCUCUAGAGUUCAUGACCAGAUUGUUGUCUCCAGAGGCUGCGUUGAUUUAAACACCUCUGGAGGACUUUUUCCGGACCCCAAGAGGACACAAGCCAGAGCUGAGGAAUAGAUAGGAGUCAGGACCCUCUGCUUUCUUUCUUCUUGCUCGUUGCUGCAUCCGGAGAGCAGGCGGCGGCUGGAAAUAGCCCAGACAUGCAGGCCAAGUCCGAGUAGAGCGCCACUGGUGUUGUCUCCUGUUAGACUUCCUUGGUUGGCCACUAAUCAGCAGAGACAGAUGAGGAUGCAGGACAGGAGCCAGACCAGAUCAGUUUCUACUGGGCAGGGCAUGGAACACAGGGAGGAGUGUGCGUGUGUGGAAGUAUGUAGGUGUAAUUCUGGGUGUGUGCAUGAUUGACACUUUGAAAAUAUACAUGAGUAACUUGUGUGAGUAAGUUGAGUAACUUGUAUGAUCAUGUAGACGGGUGACAGGAAAGUGGGACAGUGUCAUCUGUCACACACCUUCGCCCACCACAGUGUAAAGGAGCACAUUUGCACAAGUAACUGGCCUUAAAAUUAGUUUUUAGUUUUAGACUUUUUUUAGACUUUCACUUCACUAAAGUCACUCUGCUUUGACAACCUGUUAUGUCACGAUUACCCUUUUAACACGACUGUAAACCCUAACCCCUGACCCCAACCUGAGACUCAUACCACCCACUUCUGCUAGUCACUUAAAUUGAGGAGUCUUUCUAAUCAACACAGAACUUCAUAAUAUGACAGAGUAUUUAGGCCACAUUAAGACAAAGUAUUAUCAAAAAUUUAGAUUUAUUUUAUUGAAAGUCAACAACUUGUCUCAGACUCAGACAGUGACAAACUGAAAAGUCAACCAGGUGUGGCUCUGAUUCAUGCCAGUCUUGUUAACCUUGAUGUACUCGACUACAAUUAUUUUCUCAUGACAAUAAAAUUCUAAGGAAAUCAAGCCGUUAUGUAACGCGUAGAAGUCAUAUAACUACAUAAAUAAUGAUUAUAAUGAUUAAGAAUUAAGUAAUGUAAAGUCAUAGUUUUAGGUUGAUGUUGAGCAGUCAGCUGUCUGUACCAAAAUGUGAUCUGAAUUAUACUAAGGGUUUUAGCACCUGAGCACCACAUUAUUUUAAGUAUCAGGACUAUGAUUUCAUAACAACUUUAUCCUCAAGAAUAAAUGAUGUUCUCAUGACCAUAUCUUCAAAUUUAAAAAAGUAAAUCUAUGAAUUUCUUUAUGUUUAAUGUGGCCCCAAUACUCAAGUCAUAGAAAAAUUAUUUACUUGAUAGUGUAUUACUAUUCUCUCCAAAUGGAUGAUUUUAGUAUAACAAGGGCAUAAAGGUAUUAAAAAGUCAGACCGCCUCAAGCUGGGCAGCCCCCAGCUAAUUUGGUGCUGUCCCGCCACAGCCUGAGUAAAAUACCAUGACACAGUAAAACACCUCCCUCUGCUUUAAUGCUGAUAUGUUGGUGGCACUGUUGUAAAGGAUGGAGCCACUUUUUGAUGACCAAAUAUGGUUUUAAUAGAGCAUCUUAUACACUGAAUUUUAUUGGGGGGGUUUCUUGGUUAAAAUGGAAACUACACUCACAGUUUUGUCAAAGUAACAGUGAGCUCUGCAGGUGUCAUAAAAUGAUCAGUGUUAAAACUCACGUUUGACUGAAUAUAGACCGCAAGACUGCAUGAAUCAUAGCCACACCUCAUUGAGUUUGUCUGUCAGACUGUGGAGCAAGUUCUUUUCUAUUUAUGAAAUCCCAGUGUUCUUUCAAUGUUCCCUCCAACUUCAAUCCUGACAGUAAUGUAAUAUCAUCAUAGCUAUUGUGGCUGAACACUGUUGAAUGGAUUCAAUUAACAACCCAAAAGCAUUUCUGAAACCUGUUCUCUUGCACUGAUACUGAUUACUUGGAUAACAUGUACCAAUUAGACUUGAUUGCUGGUUUCUCCACCCUUGUGUACACAACAAACCCCGCCCUUAGCCAAUAAGACUCAUUAGGUAAGAGAAUUAAAAGGUCAGGGAGUGAGACGUAUUUCACACUCGUUCUUCUCCUAUAUUUAAUUCACUUUGCCUUUUUAAAUCUGCCUUUGUUGCCUACAUUAAUUGAAAACUUUCAUCACACCAUCUUCUCACAGCCAAUUAGAGUAGUGGAGCUGACAGUCGGUGCAUGUUGUGCGAGUUUAUUUAUGUGAUCUCCUUCCUCUGACUCAGACAGAAAUCUGAAGUUACUGAACACAUCUCAAGCCUUAAAGUAAAACUAUUUUUAGACACUCCCUGUGACUAGAUGGCAGUGCUGUUGCACUUAUGUUUUAACUAGUAGCUUCGCCUCCAGAUAAAUCCUUGCAGCUGUAUCGAGUUCCCAUACUCUGACAUUUCCUGAGGACAUCACACUAUAUUUGUCUUAGUUCUCUGGUUGCUGAUUUCAGAGAUUUCUGCUUGUUAAGGAUUUUGUGGCAGGUAGACUGUGAAAUAAGGGAAACUUUUGACUUUUUAUGGACUGCUCUCCUGAACACUUUUUAUUUAACUUUUAAUUUUAGAUUACAAUACUGCAUUCAACUGAAAAAAAAUUCACUGCAAACACUACGGUAUAGUAAUGCAUUUGCAAUCAGAUACAGUUUUUUAUCAUUAAGCACAGAAGUCCUCCAAGAAGACCCUAAUAAGAUCAUUUUUGUGCAGUUUUCUAUUAAAUAAAUAAAUUAAAACUAUUAAAUACUAUCUCCAUUCUGCCUCACAGAAACCUCGAAGGUUCCCUGUGAACUUUCCGACCUCUAGUUAUGCUAUUGAGCGUUUUUUUUUUUUUAGAGUGUGUUCCUGUUUGUCUCACUGCCUACAUUGUUUUCCUACAAUGGCAUGUUUUACAGACAAGACAGAGGUUUAUUUUUCUACCUCUUAUGAGACGCUCAAGUUAAGUCAGUUCAUAUAUAGAGCAACAAACACUGAGUGACCAAAGUGUUUCAAAGAAACAAACACAGAUCCAGUUGACAUCUAUAAACACUGAAUAACGUUGAGGAAUUUACUGUAUCUGAAGCAGUCUCCUUUAAAGUGUAAUCAUGAGCACAGUAACAGAAACACAAAAUACGAUUAGAAGCCUGUAUGUGAAAGAAAGUCAGUGUGUCCAAAAACAGAACUCUGUUAGUCCACAGUGAUAACAGAAACAGUGAUAGUGCAAAAGCAGUUCAUGUUUGUUGACCCUACAGCGUUAGGGCUUCAUCUCUGUAAGGUCUAAUCUGAUUUUUCAAGUAUUUUGGUCAAACGCUGUUACCUUAUCUCAUGCUUGUCUUGAUAAACACCCUGUCUUCCUCGAAUCACCAUGCAGUGAAUCAGUAACUAUGUUUGUGUUUGUUUAUUUCAUAUCUUAGAAACCCUUUGGUUUAAGCUAAAAGUGAUUGAUUGCGGCAUUUGUUACUUAUUGUAUUUGUGUAUUAGCGGCUGGCCAUUUGUUUGUCUGCAUGUCAGAUAUGAUAACAGAGUUGGUGCAUACUCCACAGUAACACUCUGUAUAUCACUGUGGAUUAGAGUGUCACCCCAGUGGUUCAAAGUAAACAGAGGACAGUGUUCUCUGUUUGGCUGCUUUCCAGGAUCCCCAGAUUUAUUUUUGUGUUUGUGCAAAUAUUUUCUGUUGCGUUCCUUGUCAUAACACCGGUGGGUAAAAGAGAAAAACUGUAAGUGGAAGUUUGCCUGUUCAAUUUCCAAAGACUAUGGCGCCACCUCCGGCUGACGCUGCAGUUCAGAGUGCAUGUGAGGUCAUUUAACACUGUUGGGCAGAGGAAGGUCAACACACAAAUACACACACACACACUCAAACUCACACAAAUUGCAAUCGUGUUUCUUUAACUACGCCGAGGGAAUGCAGCGAGUGUGCGAGGGAUGAUGAAGUAAGACAAAGUGACAAAGAGAGACAGUGGAGGCACAUGACACACCAAGGGGGGGCAUAAAAAAGCACACACACUUACUAAAACGCACAUAGUGGAAACCUCUGUCUCGUUUCCUGUUUACAGCACUGUGAUGGCUAUUUUUGUUCUCUGGCUGCAUGCAGCAAGGCCUUCAACUUAAACAAUAGAGCUAAGUGUUUGGUCAAGACAACUACACACUUAAGAGGCAGAACACACACACACACACAUUUCUUAACUAUAUCCUGUUUGUAAGCAAAAGUGAGUCUAUUAAGAUCGAAUCAAUCAUUACAUUCACUGUCUGGUCAAAUCACUGCUACAAUGACUUUUAUUUAUGAUUUGAUCAGAGUCCAAAAUGAACCAAUUGAUUGUUUUCAUUCACAUGGUGUCAUUUCCCCUUGUGGGACUAAUAAGGAAAUAACAAUCAAUAAUUUCCCUUAAAGAAACCGCCCCACACUUUAUUGAUCCCCAAAGGGAAAUUCAAUAUCAAUUAAUUAUUAAAUAAAUGUAAAUCUACAUUCUGAAAUAAUCAGGAGGUGUGUUUUAUGGCAUUAAUUCGAUUUCUAAACAAGACACCAGUAAGUAUUGUGCACAUUAUCUCAAUUGAAAACGUAUUUAUUUAUGCUGGCUUUUAAUACCCAGUACCCUGGUGACACUUUAUUUUAUUGCAUUGUAUCUUAUUCUUUUUUUAUUGCUUUUCCUGUUUUUAUACUAUUGUUUACCUUUAUUCAUUUUUAAAUACCACGUAUUGUAAAGCACUUUGGUUCACUGAAAGGGUUGUUGUUAAGGGCUGUAUAAAUAAAGAACAUUUACAUUUACAUUAUAGGGACAAAAAUACUGUUCUGAAAUGAAAAGUAAUGGAAAAUGUUGUUGUUUAUUUUGACUUUAUAAAGAAUAACAAUGUUGAUACUUUAAAAAAUGUGCAAAAUGUGCACUUAUUUCAAGAUAUUUUAGAUUACUCACUGAUCAUGAAUGAUCCCGAGUACUUCUCUUCUAUCUUUAAAGUAUUAAAGUCAUAUGUUGCAAGUUGCUAGGUGAUGUACUUUUGCAUGAAGAUGACAACUUGCUAUUUUUAACCUUUGACUUUUGUGCAAAACAACAAGGUGUCACAUAUAAGCAAGUUCAAAUCACUGUUUCCACCUUAAGGAAAGCCACUUGGGUAGUUACCUUUCACAGUUUUUUUCAUAGCUGCACUAUUGCUUAAGCAAGACAUGGAAAUGAUACGGGGCUUCUUUUCCAUUUAUUGGCAAAUAAAAGUCAUAAUAUGUUUUAAAAUACAGUAUCUUAAAACCCUGAAAGAGAUCCAUGCCAGUCAUACAGAUGUAAGCCCUGACUCUGUGGACGUUGUCCUUGAAAGCACAGCUGUUCACCGUAUGUACUUGUCUUCAUUCUUAAGUUUUUCUCUAAGCUGUGUCGCUCCCUAUCAUACUGGUAUGUAGAGUAAAAUAUGACUGCAACUACUGAGCACAUUUUUGAAAGGAAUUUAAAAGCUACUGCGUGGUUGUGCGAGUUAGACUGAAGUUAAUCGCUCUUUCUUUCUGCAAAAUCCAUAGAAAACAGAAGAAAGGAAAACGGGCUCCCUUUAUUUUUGGAGGAGGGUCAAAGGUCACAUGGGAGGUUGAAUAGUGUAGGUCACUGAAUCAAGGAAAACAUUUCAGUGCAGCAGUCUGCUCUGGCCCCACUGCCUUCCGCCAUGACGCCUGUUCAUCUAUCACACUUCCUGUGUGUGUGUGUGUGUGUGUGUGUGUGUGUGUGUGUGUGUGUGUGUGUGUGUGUGUGUGUGUGUGUGUGUGUGUGUGUGUGUGUGUGUGUGUGUGUGUGUGUGUGUGUGUGUGUGUGUGUGUGUGCAUGUUUAACCGUUUUAAUCCAAAUCUUGAUGUCUUUGUGAACACAUUGCUUUGUCUCAGUUCCCUCUUCUGCAUCUGUUUUUAACAUCCCUGUUUGGUUUGGUUAGACAGCCAAAGAAUUCAUACACUACAGACACACAACACACAGACUAACAAACAGACAGGCACACACACAAAAACACAAACCAGUCCGACUGAUAAAUCACAGCUUUCUGAAUUUGUCCCUCUUAACCCCAGAGGCAGCAUGUGCAACAUCUCCAUUGAGCUAAAAGAGAAAAACUUAAGACAAAAAAAAGGGGCAAGAGACCCACCACCCCACCCCUCUGCACACGCACACAUGCAGACACACUGGUUCUUAAAACACAACAUGUAGGCACACAAACAUAACGAUGCAUAGGCUUAAAUACGCAUACGCACUCACUCUUGCAUAUCUGUAAUUCUUUGUAAGGACAAGUGUUUGUGCAGACUACUAUUUCCACUGUUGCUAGAAUGAUGCAAAAAUGAAUCAGUUGUAAGUGUAGUGUGUUGUAAUGUUACUUCAGAAAAAUGAACAUUAGUCUGGGCUCAAAAAGUUCAUUUAAGUAUUUUAUUAGUCAGGAUUUUGCAAAAUAUCCACACGAGCAAGAAUGUCCUCAAAGAAAGGUUAUCCAACAAUGGUUUGGUCCUGGAAAAUACAGUAUACAGAAAAUACAAACACAACACAAAGACACACAUGUACAUGUCUUUAGUACGUUUUGAGGACAAUGUUCUGUAAGUUCUUUGAGAGGACCAGAGUUUUUUUUUUUUUUUUAGAGUAAUGGUAGGUUACCCUAACCUUUCACUGUUGAGGCUGUUACAACCAUAAAGCGUAUUUUUUAACUGUCAAAACUUUGUUAAACAUUAUGCAGUUUGAUUAGUUUUACUCUGCAACACUGUCUAGUUUAAGAAAUCACACACAAACACAGUGUGUAAACACUGUGCUGAAACAACUAUUUGCCUCGGUCACAAAUAAAACAUAAUUGUGGAUUUGAUCGCACCCUACAGAUAAUUUUAAUAUACAAACCAUGAUAUUUGCUGAGCCUGAUCACGUUUUGACCUGACUCGACAGAUUCGAACCAGUUCACGGCUGAAAUCCUUGCAAACUGCCUCAGAAAUAUCAACAAAGUACAUCCCCUCCUACGCGUACAAAACUUUUAAUUAUGGCAACAGACGAAGUUUCAAAUUAGGGACGUUUGGGUCUCGCAGACCAUACAAUUAAGCCUUGUUACCUUUCCUAUUUUUGAGUCAGUUUUCUAUUUACUAAGAUUUUUUUUUUAAGCUGUGGUCCCACCUGCUACCAACCAGGGCUGUAGCCCCAGUCACUGCACUGCGCAGAUGACGGACGGCCACUUAGCAUGGUGCAGUUUGGCAAUAUCAAGUUAUAUACAUUUGUCUGGUUAUAUAUCUGAGUAGACAGACAUAGAACCAUUUAACCAGAGCAAUGCCAGAGGCCACUAGUGCUAUCUCUGCUAUCAUACAUGGACUCCAAGUGUUCUGAAGUAAGACACUCAACCUUCUUUUCUUCACAUCAUGUGAGGGGGUUUUAGUAGAGAAAAAGACCUGUGUCUGUGGUGCCCAGGUCAGUGGUUGUUUGUCACCCCUGUCAAACUGUGGUUCAAAGUGAAAGUGGAGACACAGACAGAAAGAAAAAACACAACAGCAACAAGGGGAUCACCCUUACACCCACACAGUCUUUUUUUAAGCUCCUCCAACCACAACCUCCACCCCUCCUUUUCUGUUCCCACACAACAGCCAAAAAGGCAGAGGCUCAGCAACCGGCUGCUUCAGAUACCCCAAGCUUGGUGUCUUUUUUUAACCUCAUGCUUGAGUGGGUGAUGUGUGUUUCUUAGUGCUGAGCUCUGGCUUUUGAUACACAAAUGAUGUACACCCAUGUUUCCAAUCCAGGGUCAUAGAUAAGAGUGUUUCUGUUAUUCUCUGCAGAACAACAAUGAGGCCAGCCGAAGACCCACACAGCUCAGACACAUGCAAAACAAACAGGCACAUUCUCACACACAUUCUUUGUCUCUGUGUAAACAUGUAUGUGUGUGUGUGCAUGUGGAUAUUUUUUUCUCCCCCACACAUGCGCAAACACAUAAAAACAGAUUAACACACCAAGCAAUGUGCAUGAAAGACUUUAGUUGUCUUUUUUAGCCAGAGGUAGACAAGAUAUAUAAUUUUAAUCAUUCUAAAUAACAACUCCCCUACAGUGCACAAGCAAGGUACAAAGUGGGUUGUUUAGCAUGGCCAGAACACCCACAAACACGUACACACAUGCAGGAAAGACACACUUGCACACAAUCAAACACUCCAUCUUCUUGAAACCUCAUUCCUUGGACCUCAAGUAUUUAUUAAAGCUGGCAUAUGUGACACCGAACCAGCGGCGGCAGAGAGAACCGUCACUCUCCAGGGAGGAAACCCUCACAGCUGAAUUUCAUCCCAGCUCUGUAUUGUUGUUGCUGCCGCAGCUGUUUUUAAUUGUUUUAAUACAUAUUCAACACUUGGGCUUUUCUGACCCACUUUCAAUCUCUGCGGUUUUUCAUUCUAUUCAUCUUUGACACAUUUCCCUGCCUCUCUCUCUCGCUCUCUCUUUAAGGUGAGAUAAAGAAAGAAGGUGGAGACAACAGAAAUAGAGGAAUCUGGCAAGUGAGUCAAACAGUGAACAAUGAUUAAGGACAUCCAUUUAAAUCCUAAUAAAAGACACGCUGUGUGUUGUUGGGUACUGUUUCAGCAAAGUAAAUCUCAUGGGUGUUGACCUGAUAGCUGUAACUCCUUUGAGCCGAACAGCUACAGAUGUUCUUGUGUAAAAGAAUCAUGAGAACAUGGCACUACUGUGAAAGUACCUGCAUGAGUAAUAUCUGAAGACCAAUCUGCUCACCUUAAUUGUUUUGUGCACUUAAGAUAUUUUCAGCUGCUGUUUUGUUUAUUUCUAAUAAAACAGGUCAAUGAAUAUCGGUUUCAACAACACACAACGCAUUUUAAAAAUAAACCAAGGAUGUUUAUUUACAUCUGUGACUCCCAAAGUGCUUAUUGAGUCCAAUGAGACUCUAAAAAAUACUUGUAACUUGUUUGUAAUGUCAAGCCUCUCCUCUCUUAAACAGCAAAAAUGAUAAAACAUAGACUUUUGGCAAAGAUUGAUUAUAUCAGCUCUGGCAGUAGGAGUAGCGUAGCUCUAAAAUUUACCAUUACAAUAAUGAUAAUGGUUAUAAAGGUAAGACUAGUGUUAAUAGUAGUAGCAUUUUGAUUAAGACAGGCCUAUUUCUGCCUUCAGUCAGGCCUUGGCAGCAAUGACCCAAGGGAACCUUCUUAAGAAGAGUGCUAAAAAAAAACUCACAAGUUAUAUGAUCAGUAACUUAAAUGAUGCAUGAAGUAAGUAAGUGAUAUGGAGUAAUAUGACAUUGUCUGGGCUUGUGUGUAUCAUUUGUCCAUGCGGUCUAUGCCUGUAGUAGUGCAAUUAAGAGCUGGGCCAAACCUGAUCUGGCACUGACUAUACGUUUUAUCAAAUAAGAAAAAAGGUUAGAUUACCUUUGAGUGUAGAAAAAGCAUCAUCCACCCAAAGCCUGCUUGGUAGAUAUUCCAAAGGAGUCUGAUAACUGAAGGCCCUCAUUAGGUAUUGCUAAUAUUCCUGUUUUUUUUUUUAGCUUUCUGAGAAAAAAUGGUGCCUGACCAUAAUGAGAUUUAUGGUUGGGAAUAAGGAUUUUUAAAUUCUGUUUGAGUUUUGUAUGUAGCCAGUGUUGCAAAGCUAAUAUUUGGGAGUUGUACUCUUUCAUUUUCUGGUUCUAUUUAGUACACAUACUGCAGAGUUUGGGACCUGGUCAAGAGUUCUUUAGACUGUUAUUUAGGCAGGCUGCUUAAUGGAAAUUAUAAUAAUUCCACCUAGAAGUAAAGUAAGUGCUGACUAGUUCUUCAAAAUGAUUUCAAGAUUCGCUGUUUCACCACCAUGUCUCAAAUUGAUCCCGCCGACUGAAAUUAUUCAUCCACCACUUCUCCAUCCUCAGUCUGCUCAGCUGGUGUUCAUCUUCUUCUGUUAAUAUGCAACUGCAAGCAGAUGGAGCACCAGCACAAGUGUUCAAAAAUAGUACAUCAUAAUUAUCAGUCGCUUAUCAGAUCAAGACUACAUUUUCUGCUCUUGUCUGGCACAUUAAUUUUGCAGCCACAGCAGGGAUCGUGAUCAGUUUCUGAGAGAUCUGGUUAUCGCUCCAAAAACUCGUAUUAUUAAGUUGUGGUGGCGUAUUUCCAUUUCACCAAACGGGCAAACAACUUGAGUUGGAAAACCAAUAACUAAUGCAGUUAAGUUAAAAUUUCAUAACUCAUUAUGAUAAGUGGAAGUAGAUGAUAGAAACAAGUAAUGAUAGAUUGUUAAGCUUAUCACUUUUUACAGUUGAGUAAUCAAAAGUACCAAACGCUUCAGUUUUUUAUUGUCAUCUUUUGGUUAUGUUUCGUUGUGAAUGGUGUAGGAAUAUCAUAAUAUAAGAAAAACUAAUCCAUCAAAAGUUUACAUAUGCCUUGCACUGAGUAUGUUUUGCUUGUUUCACAGAGAGGAUGUUUUUCUGCCUGUUACCGAGCCAGAAUUUGAAGAUUUUUUUAAUCUUUUGAUUUCUGUUUUUCACAGUUUUAUAGUUUAUCAUUCAGCCGAGGCCUAUUGUUCCUAUUUCUUCUGCUUUGACAAAAAACUCCAAUGAGAAUCACAGAAGUCAUUCUCGCUUGUCAUGCACAUUGUCUCUUCUUUUUUCAAAACCCACAUCUGUUCUCACAUGCGAGUGCUUUUUUUCCAAUUUCCUUGUUAAUUAUAAUUAUCAGCCACAUAUCCGAGAGUGUUUGAGACAAAAUGAAAAUUUCCCUUGGAAUCCUCUUAGCUCUGCCACUUACAGAUUAUAUAUGCAGAGGAUUAAUCAAACCCAUUUUAUCCACUGGUUUGAUUUAAAGGCUUUUGUCUACCAACUAUCUGCUGUGUCUCUAACAAAGCAAUGACUGUCUGCGCAGAGCUUUCAAACAAGCCACGUUAAACGGACUCACGUGUCCCUCGUUGUGAGAAUCACACUUUGACUAAAGGGACAUUGCAAUCUCAUUUCACCUGAUCUGUUCAACAGAGAGGUCAGAGGUCACAUCACAUGUACAAAGCAGCAGCUACAUCGUCUGAAAGGAUGCAUACAGAGAUUUGUCAAAAGGCUUGUUACUAGGCAAGAAUAGAGAUGAGACAAAAAUCAGCUGUGCUCUCAUACGACUGCAAGAAGGAGCAUUAUACAGAAAAUUACAGGCUCCUGUUGAAGCAGACUGACUGUAACUUUAUUAAGAUAUCCUAAAACUACACAGACUGCAACACAGAUAUCCAUGACAACUGCAGUUAAUAUCGUUCAUGUUUAACAAAUAUGUUUCAUUAUUUGACCUGCACUCAAUAUACCAGAAUGUAAGACUAGCCUCAUUAAUAACUCCAACCCCAAACACACAAACACUUUCAAAUUAUAAAUUUAUUCAAUUUUUCAGCAACACACUCACACACACUCCUGGAGGACCACGGUGGGAUUUUCCCUGACUGUUGGUAUUUUUAAGACAGUAAUUUUAGGUUUGCUUUAGGCAGAUAUUAUUCUCUUUAACAGGAAAUUUCGGGGCCGCAUGACUUUUUUUUUUCAAUAACUUCUGUAUUGAUAAUUAAGAUCUUAAAAUCUGCAUCACUCUGCCUCAGUUAUUAAACUAACACUUUUUCCUGAACACUCACUGUGUCUCUCCGUAUUUCAUCCUCCUGGUACUGGAGCUGUGAGUGAUGGUGUAGCGGCUCCAAAGACCAACCUUGUCGCUUGAGAGGAAAGUUGAGGGUCCAAUAUUUGUCGGACGCGCUAUCGCUUUCUCCAUAGACAUGCAAGAGGCUUGUGAUGCACCUUAUGGGGUAUUUAAUGAAACAUCUGCUAGUGGUCACACACACAGGACUCCUUUUGAUACACACCAGGAACAAACAAAGGGCAAACCAAAGGCAAUGCUAUGCUACGUAUACUAUGAUGCGAUGUUAAGUGAAGCGAAGCGGUCAACAAAAAUUAUGGCUACCCCGCGGCUCCCCUCUCUCUCCACCUGGCUGCAGGUAAGCCACGUCUUUUCAUAACUACCCAGCAUUCACCCCAUGCCCCACGCGACCCAAGCUCCCGUACGUUACCACAGCAACCACAAACACCACGUGACACAUACUGACUUACUACCUUAUGGCUCCUACAGAUGGUUAGCUUCAGAUAAUGGCUCUUCCUCUGUUGUGAUUACAUAAUAUUUAGAAGACUAAACCACACAUAUAAGACAACCAUUUUUUUAAUAUGUCAAGGGACAUCUGAUGUUUUGUCAAUAUCAUCCUGAAAAAAACAUUUUUUAAAUUCUUGUUUGUUAGUUUUUUCCAUUUUUGAUCUUUAACCUUCGUCUUACGCUGCCAUGCUGGUGUUAAGUAUCCAGGGAUCACAUUAAGGCUAAGCAAUUACUUCCAGGAACCAGUACAUCAUACUUGAAAGACUAGCCAUCAUGAUAGGUUUCAGAGAUCAUUUUGCUUGGAGUACACCACAGCAGCUGAUAAGGGUAAAUGGCCUGUUACACAAGCAACUUCAGUGAGGCCUUGAGCCCAUUCUUGACAAACAGCUCAGUUCAAACCACUCCAGAUGCAUCCCUGGGAAUGUGCCACAUUUCUAUGUCAUAUUUACAACAUGUUGAACUCAAGCACAAUUCACAUGCUCAUGGACUUCUAAAUCGGGUCAAACUCUCACUGCUUCAAGUGUUGUCAUCAUGCUUGAGGUAGCUUAAACAACCUUGCUGCUUUAUUAUUUGAGAAUCUGAAGACUGUGCUACACCUCCUCUUCAUAGUAACAUAUACAGUAACUCUGUAUACUUGUAUUGAUCCUUGUAAUAAGUGCGGGUGAAAUUUACUUAGAAAAUUAGCUGAAUAGAGGCAACUCGAGAAAGCUUUGGCCCGCUCUUUCACAGUCUCCAAAAGUCUCUCCUUCCACAGCCAGUCUCGUCUCUAUUCUCUCUCCUUUCUACCUUUGAACUUCUCUUUCAUUUUUUCUCUUCUUUCAUCGUCUCUUUUUUUUUUUUUUUUUUUUUGAAGAUAUUGGAGGAAUGCCAAAGUCUUCAGACAGAGAAGUCAGAUAUGAGCAGCGCCGCAUUCCAGCUUGCUCUACUGUGUCGGGUGGACAGGUUGGAAAGGCCAGUGGAGGCACGUGACUCUUCUGGUGACAGAUGGGAACAGGGCCUGGAGGAAUCCACCUCUGUCCCCAUUACCCCCAACCCUAAACUCACCCCACCUGACUGGGAGAUUUCAGAUUCUCAUGCUUUCACUUUCUUGUGCUGUUUUAUGUCUUAGCUCCUGGUCAAAGUCAAGUUUAGGCAUGUAAAAGCAUAGCCAGAGCUGAUAUUUUAAAUCUUUUGGGUUCUUUUUAAACAGGGAUGAUAAAAAAUCAGGAAAAUGAUUCAGCAGAAAGGUGUGAGAUGGUUGUGUAUAAUGUGGAUAUCAUUCUCACAAUAAAAUCAAUUCUCUUCUUUUA